UUUGUAAGUUUUCUUUUAAACCAAAUAGAGGAUCAUGCGAGGGAUUGGCACUUUAGUGCCCAUUAUGGGCACAAAAGUGCUACAUGCUAGUAAAUUAAUUUUACCUUGGUAAAGUUGUCAACCAACAAAUUUUUUUGAACUGGUAAUGGAUGGACAUGCGUGACACAGAAUUGAGCGCAAUAACAUUCUAGGAUUCAUAUAGCCGAUCUCACUUAGUGGGAAAAGACUUUGUUGUUGUUGUUAUAGUAAUAGAUGGAUAUGUGUGAAAUUUUCAGGCAAAUAUAAUCAGAAUGCCAUUGCAAUUGCUAAACUUCCAACAAUACCAGCAAAGGUUGUCUGCCCAAAUCGGACCUCAACGGACCAAACAGCUCGUAAAUCAAGCACUCGUCCUCCUCACCGUCGGUGGCAACGAUUUUGUCAACAACUACUACCUAGUGCCUUUCUCCGCAAGAUCUCGCCAGUUUUCUCUGCCAGACUAUGUCAAAUACCUCAUUUCCGAGCUCCGAAAAAUUCUCUUGGUAACCAACUCCUAAUUUGGCUAAGUUCGAAAGUAACUUGCUAGCUAAGCGACAAUGUGACAUGUUAAUGACUUUUAAUUAUGUGUUGUUUGAUCAUUCUUUGUGUCAUAACUUACAGAAAAUGUAUGAUCUUGGAGCACGAAGGGUUUUGGUGACGGGGACAGGACCGAUGGGCUGCGUGCCUGCUGAAUUGGCCAUGAGAAGCAGGAAUGGAGAAUGCGCAGCGGAGCUGCAACGAGCGUCGGCUCUGUACAACCCGCAACUCAUUCAGAUGCUGAGAUCAGUCAACAGCCAACUCGGUUCUGAUGUCUUUGUUGCUGCCAACGUACAGGAGACCCGCAAUGACUUCAUCAGGAACCCUCAAGCAUUUGGUAAAUUAAUUGUACAAUAUACGUUUAUAUCAAUUUUAUGUUCAUGACCUAAUAUUAUGAUCAUGGAUUAAGUUUUGUUCGAAAGAUUAACCUAUUCAAGAAUCUCCUAAUCUACGCUUAUUUUCAACCCCGCCAAUCAUUUUGUCUCUUACUAUGCAUUUUUUGUGUGUUGGUGACAUAAAGUUGCUUGUUUAAUUUUUGUUAUCCAGGAUUUACUACAUCAAAGGUUGCAUGCUGUGGGCAAGGACCUUACAAUGGCUUGGGGCUGUGCACAAGAGCUUCCAAUUUGUGCCCGAACCGCGACCUAUAUGCUUUCUGGGAUGCAUUUCAUCCGUCCGAAAAGGGGAACAGACUGAUCGUUGAGAAUAUUUUGACAGGGGAUGAAAAGUACAUGUACCCCAUGAAUCUCAGCACCAUCUUGGCUUUGGAUUCCAGGACCUAAGACAUAUUUCCAUGUGAAACUAAUAUUUAUGUGUACUACUUCCAUUUGAAACUAUAUUUAUGUGUACUAGAUUAUGAUCAGUGUUGAAUGCCAGUACCAUCUACCAUUUAUGUUUGUGCGUCGCUGGGAUGUCUAGUGAUUAAAAACUGAUUGGCUUCCCAAUUGCUUUCUAGUUUUUGUAAUGGUUUGAUUUGCAAGAUUUCCCCCAAGGUGAUAAUGUCAAACUUACCAACUUAAGUACAAUCAUCUUUAAUUUACAUUCAGUCUUUUUGUUCACUGCUUGUGGAAUUUAUUAUCACUUACUCAAUCAGGUUUGUCCAACCUCUUCCUAAAAUAUUCAAAAGUUCGUUUCUGUAACCAAAAGGAGUGCCCAUUUGAUCUACGUGUUGAUCAUCGCUGGGUUCUCUCUUUCUAACUGUGUUGUUUGCUUUAGCUUUCACUUUUCUGCUUCGCAAACUCUCUCACAAAUCUUUAUUGUGUUGCUCUCGAUCUCGCCCUCCCUCGCUCUCCAACCUUGCAUUCCUUCUCUCACAAUAUACCCACAGAGGAAACCUUGGUUUUUGUUGUUCUAGGAAUUUUGUUUGGGGCCUCCAUAUUUAGAGGAGGAGCCGAUCCUUGGAAACCCAGAUAUCUCAACGUUUUGUCAAAGCCCUCAAAUUUGGUUUCGACCGUUUUAUCUCGAUCUCACAAUCGUCGGCGCAAGACCUUCCGCUUUCCUCUCUUGCAUACCUCGGCUUUCAUCGUUUUUCGCCCCGAGCACUCCCCCCCGCAAACAUCUCUGCUGCGAUUAACUCACGCGCCCCGACCUGAUAUUUUCCAAAUACCAGUAUAGACACGUACUGACCGACAUUCAAGGGUGACGAAAGUUAUUAAUUGAUUACAAGAGUAAUGAUUAGGAGAAAAUAUUCAUGAAUAAAUAUUAGAAUUUAAGAGUAAUAAAUAAAAUUUAAGGAAGUGUCUAGAGUGCACAAAAUACAAACUAAUUCAAGAUUUACAAAAAGGAAAAAUCAUUACAAGAUAUCAUACAAGUGGGUGAUAGAUUGCUACUGGUAAGGGAAUGCCUCGUACAUCGAGUCGUAGUCCUCGUUUUUAAGACCUGAAUGGGGAUGCAAAACAAAGGUGAGUGGACCAAAUUCAUAUAUACAAUAAUAAUAAAAUAGUUAUCAAUGUACUAACCCAACAAUUUAUAUAAUGAAAACUACUAGCAUAAUAAGUGAUGGAUUUAAUAAAAAUCCUAGCAUGCCAAAAUAUCUCAAAAGUCAUAUCACGGAAUAACGUCGCAGAAAUCAAAACAGUAAACAUCUAAUAGAUCGUCUCGUAAGCGCGGUGUGUUAUUAGAAAUAUCACUGAAUAAAUAUAACUCCCGGCCCAAUGCCUGCUCUGUGGUUUCUGCGCCCGUAGCCAGAGAUUACCAACUCCCGGCCCAAUGUCUGCUCCGUGUCCCUCAGCCCGUAGCUAGGGAUUAUUUCUCUCGGCCUAUCUGCCAACACCAGAUCCUCGUCCCAGGCAACAUAGUGUCCUCUAGGUAUGCACAAAUAGUUACGUCUCUCAUAAAUAACCACUUCAUAGUAUAAAAUCAUCAAUCGUCUAUAAUAUAAAGAGGGGUUUCUAAAACAUGUCCUAGCAUCCUAUCGUAAUCCAUCAGAUAGUCUACCAGUUCAUGAUUUUUAUAAAAAAUACGAUAUAUUAAAAUAUAGCUCAAUAUAGGCCAACAAACUAAUUCCUCACCAAAAAUACGAGACGAAAAUCAAUAUCUUCAGUAAAUAGGCUUAACAUAAAUUAAAUCAUAAACUUGUAAGCAUGCUAAUCAUUUAUGCAAUUAAAUUAUAAAAUCAUGUAAUUUUAGAAGUAGUCCACUCACAAAUAUUCCUUAGUAGAAGAGUUGUGCAGAUAAAGAUUAGGAAUUUCCUCACUAGCAACUUUACCUAAGCACAAAAAUGUAAUAAAUACAUAAAAGGAUUUUCUAAAAGAUUUGGGCUUGAACUAAAUAAAUUAAGGGAUUUGGGUUGAAUGGGUUAGGGUCAAAUGGGUUUUACAAUCCUAAGGUUUUUGGGUUAAAAAGGCUUUAGGGUGAAGAAAUGUGGUUUGGCCUUAAGCCCAAACACACACACACGCACACGCACACACACGCACACGCACACACACGCACACACACACACACACACACACACCACACAACAUAAGAGCACACACAUGCACUGCAUGCACAUGCAUGCAUGACAUGCAUAUACACGCACACGCACACGCACACACCCCCCCCCCCCGCACACGCACACACCCCCCCCCCCCCCCCACACACACACACACACUCACACAGGCUGCACAACACACACACCACACAAAGGCCGGCCCUAAGGCCUCAUAAAAGGGCUGGGCUUUAGGCCUUAAUUAAAAGGAAAUGGCCCAAGGCCCUUUGGGUCUUUAAAAACAAAAUAAAUAAAAACAAAAGGGAUACGGGCUGGGGUAUUGGGUUGGCCCAAAACGGCUAAGACCCGUGGGUGCUAAUCGGCCUGAAAGGCCUGGGUUUGCUGAAGAAGAAGGCUGGAGCUGCUACAGCUCCGGUCACCUGAAAACGAGGGUUCUAGACCCUGAUCUAAGUACGAACAUGAAGAGCAAGAUGAGGGGAAGAGAUUGCUACCCUCAAAUAACCGUGACACGGCCGGAAGUGACCGGAAAUUCCCUCGAAGCUCACGGGCUCACAGGAAAAAUGGGUGUGUUUCCCCCGCGCCGUUCCCGUCUUCAAAACCUUGGAAAAACAAUAUAAAUCUUAUCACACAACUUCCAACAACAUCAAUGGCAGAUUAAAAAGGGAUCCUACCUUACCUAACCGAAGAAAUAAGGAAAAUCCUGCCGGAGAGUUUCUCUGGGUUCUUUCGUGUCCCGCAACCAUGGAUUUAAAUAUCGAAAAUAUCGCCGAUAUUUUUGUUUUUUUUUACUUACCGAUAUUUUAAGGAGUAUCUAAUGAGUUUUCGUCAAAAUAUCGCGCUAUUUUUGUUUUUUUUUACUUACCGAUAUUUUAAGGAGUAUCUAAUGAGUUUUCGUCAAAAUAUCGCGAUAUUUUCGAUAAUAUCGCGAUAUUUCUUAUAAUAUCGCGAUAUUAGCUAAAAUAUCGCGAUAUUAGUUCAAAAAUUCCUUAAAAUUUGGAAAAGACUCGGUUUUGAGCAUAAAGGGGUUCGAACCCCUCCCCCUUAACUUCUUAAGGCCUUAACCACUGUACCACUUAUGUUGUUAUGAUAAUAAGCUACAAUAUUUAUAUAUAUGGUUUAUUUUUAAAGAAACAAAUUUGCACAUAUUCCAAAUUUUUUGUGGUAUUAUAUUUUAAAUUGUGUCAAUUAAUUACUUAGUCAAUGGCAAGUGGUUUUUAAUUUUUCUAUUUUUUAUUUGGUCAAGGGCUGGAAAAAAUUCCGGAAAAUCCCAAACCAAACCGAAAAAGUCCCAAACCCAAACCGAAAAAUCCCAAACCAAAACCAUCCUGAAGUUCGGGAAUCCCAUCCCGAAAAAUACCGAAAUUUUCGAUAUGGGAUUGGUUUCCAAAUCCCAUUUGUUUGGUAAUCCCGAAAAAUACCGAAGUAUUCGGUUUCCUAUUGACUUUUGGGUUUUGGUUCUUGAAAACCAUUGCCAUAGUUGGUAACUACUCUUCAAAAUACACUCACUCUACACAUAGAGAUGAUGAAGAUAUUGAAAAUUUUGAACCUCAUAGGAACUCUAUGUGGUACUAAGCCACUCAUGCAUCUUACCAUGCAAUGUAUAAAGUGUAAAAUAUUGUACUAAUUCAUUAUAUAUAAAUGAUUAUGGUGUGUUUAGACUUCUUUCAUUAAUUUCUACAUAUUUUCUAUAGUCACAAUGUUUGUCAGCUCGCUAUAUAAUCAACUUGAUAAUGUUAAAUUCAUCAUGCAAUGCAUUUCCUUCCAAUUUUUUGUGAUAAACUAAUAGAUAAUUGACUAAAUAAACAUCCUGCAAAGUUUCAAUAAAAAUUUCCAAGUUUUUCUUACAAUUUCCGUGGUUUCCAUGUAAUUUUUAUCGAUAUCGAUAUUAUCCCGAUAUUUCCAUCGAUAUUUCCGUGUUUUCGGACUACCGAUAUUUCCGAUAUUACCGAUAUUUUCUUCCUUGCCCGCAACAACGAAAGAGAGGGAGAGAUGAUAGGGUAAUGAUGGUGAAGAUGGUGCAGGUACGGGGUUGGUAAUGGGUGUGGCUCAUGGGAGAAUGAGAGGGAGAGAGAUAAGAGAGAGAGCUACGGGAGAGCUAAGAGACUGAAAGAGAAAGGUCUCGGGUUUGGGGGGACAGAAAGAGAGAAAAUGGAAGUGAGUUAGAUUGCUGCCACGUGGUAGUUUGGGGUAAAAAUAACAUAUAACACCAAUAAUUGGGGGUGGUUGUAACAAUCUACCCCCUUAAUUUCGUCCUCAAAAUUGCGAAGUUACACAAAAAGAAAGGGAUAUUGAUUCCGCAUUGAUUCCUCUAUUUCCCAAAUAGCUUCUUCGACUGCAUGGUUCCUCCACAGUACUUUUACCAAAGGAAUAACUUUGUUCUGCAUCACUUUAUUCUGUCUGUCAAGAAUAGCCACUGGUUCUUCUACAUAGCUAGCAUCCAGAUUUACUUCCAACGACUCUAUCUGGAUGAUAUGAGAGGGAUAUGGUACAUAUUUCCGAAGCAUGGAAACAUGGAAAACGUUAUGGAUCUGUGACAACUCCGUUGAUAGCUCAAACCUAUAAGCAACUGCACCAAUUCUCUCAAUAAUCUGAUAGGGACCUACGAAUCGAGGACUCAGCUUUCCUCCCUUACCAAAAUGAACAACACCAUUCCAGGGAGACAACUUCAAGAAUACAAAGUCGCCCACUAUGUACUCACGAUCAUUGGAGUGUUUGUCUGCAAUGUUUUUUCUGUCGGUCUUGUGUUGCUUUCAAAUUCACCUUAAUCAGUUGGGUAUUACCAUUGGUAGGACCAGAUAUUGUGGAUACCACUAACGGUAAUAUCCAACUGAUUAAGGCGAAUUUGAAAGCAGCACAAGACCGACAGAAAAGCAUUGCAGACAAACACUCCAAGGAUCGUGAGUAUACAGUGGGCGACUUUGUAUUCUUGAGCUGUCUCCCUGGAAGGGUGUUGUUCGUUUUGGUAAGCAAGGAAAGCUGAGUCCUCGAUUCGUAAGUCCCUAUCAGAUUAUUGAGAGAAUUUGUGCAGUUGCUUAUAGGUUAUAGCUACCACCGGAGUUGUCACAGAUCCAUAACGUUUUCCAUGUUUCCAUGCUUCAGAAAUAUGUACCGAAUCCCUCUCAUAUCAUCUAGAUAGAGCCAUUGGAAGUAAAUCCGGAUGCUAGCUAUGUAGAAUAACCAGUGGCUAUCCUUGACAGACAGAAUAAAAUGAUGCGGAACAAAGUUAUUCCAUUAGUAAAAGUACUGUGGAGGAACCAUGCAGUCGAAGAAGCUACUUGGGAAACAGAGGAAUCAAUGCGGAAUCAAUAUCCCUUUCUUUUUGUGUAACUUCGCAAUUUCGAGGACGAAAUUAUUUUAAGGGGGUAUAUUGUUACAACCACCCCUAAUUAUUGGUGUUAUAUGUUAUUUUUACCCCAAACUGCCACUUGGCAGCAAUCUAACUCACUUCAUUUUUCUCUUUUUUUGUCCCCCUCAAACCCGAGACCUCACUCUUUCAGUCUCUCAGCUCUCCCGUAGCUCUCUCUUUCUCAUCUCUCUCAUUCUCAUUCUCCCAUGAGCCACACCCAUUACCAACCCCGUACCUGCACCACCUUCACCAUCAUUACCCUAUCAUCUCUCCCUCUCUUUCAUUGCUGCGGAACACAGAAGAACCCAGAGAAACUCUGCAGUGAGAUUUUCCCUAUUUCUCUGGUUAGGUAAGGUAGAAUCCCUUUUUAAUUCGCCAUUGAUGUUGUUGGAAGUUGUGUGAUGAGAUUUAUAUUGUUUUUCUAAGGUUUUGAAGAUGAGAACGGUGCCGGGGAAGCACACCCAUUUUUCCGGCGAACCCAUGAGCUUCGAGGUAAUUUCAGGUCACCUCCGGCCGUGUCACAGUUAUUUAAGGGUAGCAAUCUCUUCCCCUCAUCUUGCUCUUCAUGUUCGUACUUAGAUCGGGGUCUAGAACCCUCGUUUUUAGGUGACCGGAGCUGUAGCAGCUCCGACCUUCUUCUUCGACAAACCCAGGCCUUUCAGGCCGAUUAGCACCCACGGGCCUUAGCCGUUUUGGGCCAACCCAGUACCCCAGCUCGCAUCCCUUUUGUUUUUAAAGACCCAAAGGGCCUUAGGCCAUUUCCUUUUAAUUAGGGCUUAAAGCCUAGCCCUUUUGUGAGGCCUUAGGGCCGGCCUUUGUGUGGUGUGUGUGUUGUGCAGCCCGUGUGUGUGUGUGUGUGUGUGUGUAUUUAGUGUGCGUGUGUGUGCGUGUAUAUUUAGUGUGUGUGUGUGUGUGUGUAUGCAUGUCAUGCAUGCAUGUGCAUGCCGUGCAUGUGUGUGUGCUUGUGUUGUGUGGUGUGUGUGUGUGUGUGUGUGUCUGUGUGUUUGGGCUUAAGCCCAAACCACAUUUCUUCACCCUAAAGCCUUUUUAACCCAAAAGCCUUAGGAUUCUAAAACCCAUUAGACCCUAACCCAUUCAACCCAAAUCCCUUAAUUUAUUUAGUUCAAGCCCAAAUCUUUUAGAAAAUCCUUUUAUUUAUUUAUUACAUUUUUGUGCUUAGGUGAAGUUGCUAGUGAGGAAAUUCCUAAUCCUUAUCCGCACAACUCUUCUGGUAAAGAAUAUUUGUGAGUGGACUACUUCUAAAAUUACAUGAUUUUAUAAUUUAAUUGCAUAAAUGAUUAGCAUGUCUACGAGUUUAUGAUUUGAUUUAUGUUAAGCCUGUUUACUGAAGAUAUUGAUUUUCGUCUCGUGUUUUUGGUGAGGAAUUAAUUUGUUGGCCUAUAUUGAGCUAUAUUUUAAUAUAUCGUAUUUUCUAUAAAAAUCAUGAACUGGUAGACUAUCCGAUGGAUUACGAUAGGAUGCUAGGAUAUGUUUUAGAAACCCCUCUUUAUAGUAUAGACGAUGGAUGACUUUAUACUAUGAAGUGGUUAUUUAUGAGAGACGUAACUAUUUGUGCGUACCUAGAGGACACUAUGCAUCCUGGGGCGAGGAUCUGGUGUUGGCAGAUAGGCCUGGAGAAAUAAUCCCUAGCUACGGGCUGAGGGAAACGGAGCAGCCAUUGGGCCGGAAGUUGGUAAUCUCUGGCUACGAGCGUAGAGACCACGGAGCAAGCAUUGGGCCGGCAGUUAUAUUUAUUCAGUGAUAUUUCUAGCAGUACACCGCCCUUACGAGACGAUCUAUUAGACAUUUACUGUUUUGAUUUCUACGACAUUAUUCCGCAAUAUGACUUUUGAGAUAUUUUGGGAUGCUAGGAUUUUUAUUAAAUCCAUCACGUAUUAUGCUAGUAGUUUUCAUUAUAUAAACUGUGGGGGUUAGUACAUUGAUAACUGUUUUAUUAUUAUUGUAUUUAUGAAUUUGGUCCACUCACCUUUGUUUUACGCUCCCAUUCAGGUCUUAAAAACGAGGACUACGACUCAACGUAUGAGGCAUUCCCCUACCAGUAGCAAUUUAUCACCCACUUGUGUGAUAUCUUGUAAUGAUCUUUCCUUUUUGUAAAUCUUGAAUUAGUUUGUGUUCUUUGCACUAUAGACACUUAUUUAAACUUUGUUUAUUACUCUUAAAUUCUAAUGUUUAUUCAUGAAUAUUUUCUCCUAAUCAUUACUCUUGUAAUCAAUUAAUGGCUUUCGUCACCAUUGGGUGUCGGCCAACACGUGUCUAUUCUGGUAUUCGGGGAAUAUCAGGGUCGGGACGUGUCAGAUUGGUAUCAGAGCAUGGUUAGGGUUUCUUUCCAUCAAUUUGGUAAAUUUCUAUUUUUCUAAAUCUCGUUGUCUGUUUCAGAAUCAUGGCUAAUCCUGGUGGGAAUGUGCCUCGAUGAACUCGUACUUCUAUAAUGGGGGGAAUUCAGCAGUUUACUAAUGCUUUAAUGAAUGCUCUUCCGGGUCAUAGACCGAAUCGGACGUAUUUAGAAAUUGCUAGAAGUCAUGGAGUUACUGAAUUGAAAUCUGUGGGGAAUGGUGAGGAGACUAAGCAGUGGUUGGAGAAAAUGGAGGAUACUUUAGAGGCUGUGAAGUGUCUUCUAAUUGAGUGGGCAAACACUGUAGGUUUCUUUAUUCAGGGUGAUGCUAGGAGUUGGUGGAAAUUAACGAAGGAAUCUCGUCCACCUGAUUCUUGGAUGACUUGGGCUGCCUUCAGGAAACGUUUUAUUUCUUACUUUCUAAGCCCCAACAACAGAUUGAGGAAGAGGCAGAAGUAUUUAAAGUUCCGACAAGGUGACCUCAGCAUCACAAAAUUUGACAGUACUUUCAGGCGCUUGGCUAGGCAUCAUGAUGGGACUUAUGAUAAUUCGCAGACACAGAUGGAUCAGGCGAUAAUUGCACUGAACCAGGAGUACCGUACAUUGGUAGCUGCUUAGAGACCCAAAACUUAUGAGGAUGUAAUCGAGAUAAGUCUGAGUAUAGAACAGUCUAAGUGGGAUACAGAGAUACAAGAUCAACCUCAGAUCUGGAUCCAGCCCUAAAGACAGAAUAGACAGCGGAAUCAAAAUCAGAGGAAUCGGAAUUUCCGGUCGUGUAGUGCCAGAGAAUCAGUGGGCCCCUCCAGUUCUGUAGGUCCCAGACAUUUUUUUUUCUUUAAACGAUCAGGUUGGGCUCAGGGUCUUCUGGUGAAGGCUGAGGCAACGAAUCGGCGAGACGAUCUUUCAGUCAUUUCACUCCGGGUUAUUCAGUCUGUAAUCAAUGUGGGUUACGUCAUCGAGGGAGUUGUGGGAUAACUGCUGUAGUUUGUCACAUGUGCGGUGGUACCGGGCAUUUUGUUCAUGAUUGUCCUUCAGCACCACCUGGUAAUUUUACCUUUGGCUCAAACUACGGUGGUGGAGCGGGUCCGGGAUGUGGUGGAACCCGGGUCGGGAUGUGACAUUAACACUUUGAAACAAGAAAUUAAAUCGAUCUCCAAAAAUCCAACCCCCACAUUGGAUCAGGAUCUAUCACCAUCUCGUGGUGCCUUGCUUAGAUCGGCUCUGCACUCAUCAUCGAGACUCUGCCUUCACAGAGGACUCCCGCAUAUCCCACCACCAAUAAAGGUAAAGCACGGCCACCUCUCCCUUUCUUCGUUUUCAUGGCCGAAUGUCAAAUCAAGUGACUCUGACUCAUGCAUGUGUGUAUUCUGUAAAGGGGUUUCUCAAUCUGUUGUCUGUACUGAAGAAAAGGAGAAUGGGGCUCUCGAAAAUUUCAUAUCCGAGAAAAGACAAAGGUAUAGAUUUUGUUUAGUUUCUUUGUAUCUUUGAAUUCAUUGGAUUUGAUUCUUAUUGUUAUUCCAUUUUGUAGUUCUUAUCAAGUACAUACAUAUAUUAAAAAGGUAUUGAAUUGGUACCUCUUGAUCAUCGAGUAUAAUAUUUGUAGGUGCAAAAUCAUUUUGGGUCUGCAUGCAACCAAGCUUCUCUGUUGCAAACCAACAGAUUGAGAGAAUAUUAUGACCAAUUUCAAAAUUUCAGAGGUUUGUUUUGGUUUUUUAUCAUAUUGGACUUGAAUUUGCUUUAUUGUUGUUUGAUUAUAUUGAAAUCAGACUUUGGGUUGAGACUUUUAUUUGGAUUUGAUUAUAAUUUUCUAUACUAAUUAGCAUCUGGGUUGUGAAAUUUCUUAUUCUUCCUUUUUGGUGUUUAUCUCCUCUGUCAUCAUCAGUUUUGGUGCUUAUGUUGGGCUUUCAUUUUUAAAUUUUUUUAACAAGACUUUAAGGACAUCUCAAGGUGCAGCGGUAGAAUCAAACUCUCGAGGUUUAGAUUUUUUUUCCCUUCUUUUGUUUUGGAAUAAUUUUUCGGGUUUCUUCUCGCUUUUAUUAUGAAAAUAAGAGAUUGAUAAGAUGCAUAGGAGGCUUCCAUCUUUCUAUCUUUCAACUAUUUGACAAUAAACUAUUGUGGGCUAUGCGUCAAAUUCUUGUGAAUUAUGAAAUUGUUUGUCACACUCUAUUUUUAUAAGGAUUUUUUUAUUGGUCGUGUGAACCUUUUUGUGCAACCCCUUUCAUAUUACAAUUGCUAAUUUAGCUUUUUCAAUUUUGCAGUUGUGUUUGGUUACUCCAUCAAAACUCCUACUCAAACUGUUUUGUUCUCAAAACAAUGUCAUAAAAUAACAAUAGUGAACCACUAACAGAACUUCAACUCAAAUUGUUCUUGGGUUGCUGAUAAAAAGGUUUGAAAAGAAAAUAAAAUAACAGAACUUAAAUCUUAGCUUUUAAUUGGCUAUAAUGGAGAGAGUUAUCCUGUAAUUUUGCUUAAGCAUAAUUUAAUUGACAGACUGAUUUGGGUUGUUCUAUAAUUCUUUAGUAAUAGGAUCCACUAAAAUCAUGUUAUUCAAAUUUGUACCUUUUUUUUUCCAGUCUUCUCAGCAACCAAAUGGAGGGUUAUGUAUUUUGGAAAUAUUUAUAUGCAUUGAAUUAGGUAAAAUUUUGGUUUUUUGUUCAAUUUGAAAUCCAAAAUAAUAUAGAAGAUAAGAAUAAUUUUUGUUUUAGAUUUCUUCAGAACUGCUGGAGUUUGGAUUUGCAUAUGUUCAGGAUAUUUAUUUGUUUGAUCUUAUGGAUAUUUAGGUAUGAAUCGGCAGAAGAUUGUGCAGACAAUGAUGAAGCAAAGCAGGUUAAUAAGUGACAUUUUCUUUGUUCUUUAUUGUGCUAUAGAUUGGAAUUUAUCAUUGUACAUUAUUUUUGAAAAUUUUUUAUGUGCAAUUUUAUUGUUGGAUUUUCUGCUGUGUAUGAGAAUCAUUUGAAUGCUGAGAACCUAUUAUAUUCGCAACGUGAUAUAAGAGGUCAACACCUUCAUCAGUAUGUAAGUUUCUCUAAUAAAUACUUUGGACAAAUGCUUUAUGAAUUUGAGUUUUUAUCUUUUGAUUAUUUUUUGCAGAGGUGGUAUUAAUUUUCCUUUUACUAGAAAUUUAGAGGCUUAAGGUACAAUGUUAUCAAACUCAAUUUUUCUAAUUUUUUGAUUCUGGGGUACUGCAAAGAGUGCUAAUAUACUGUUUUUUCUAGGAUUUUUGGUCUUUGAAAUGGGUAUGUUAUGUUUUUAACGUUUCGGUUCUCAUAUGUUCCACUAUUUUAUCUGUUGUUUGCCUGCUUCUGCGUUGCUUCUUAAUUUUCAUUUUUCAACGUUGGGUGAUGGAAAUUUGUAAAAAUAGUUGUACUUUCUGAAAAAGUUGGGGGUUUUAGGGGUUUUAGUUAUAUUUCCUCUGUAAUCCCAAUUGUAAGACUUAAAAAAUAAUUGCAAUGAUGGUUUUUUUUUAUUCAAUUUCUCUUGAAUGUUUUUUCUUGAAUUUAAAAGCAUCUUUCCAGAUUGGUUACAAUGAUUAUGUUCUCUCUAAUUAGUUCUUUUAUAUUCUCUUCAACCUUUUUGUCUAAUUUUAUUUUUCAUUUUUUGUGUGGCUUUCUGUAGAAAUUAGCAUGAGAUUUUCAGAUGACAUGGAUGAUGAGUAUGAGAAACUCAUCUGGGGAAUGAACCCACCAAGGUACAUGCAAAAAUCAUUCCUUUGGGUUCAUAUAGAAGUAUGAAUUUUCUUUUAGCAUAUAACAUUGACGCAAUAAUUUAUCUCAUGGAAUGUAAGAUAUCUUAUGAACUUUACCUACCUAGCAAACAACGGCUGAUGUCACUUUCGAGAAGCUGAGAUCAGCUUACGGCAUGUCACAACAGUCCCACAAGCAGACGCCCAAACUGUAUACAUCACAUAAGGCAAGUUUCAAUCUUUUUAGCUUCCAAUUAAUAUUUCAUGCUAAAAUUUGAUUGAAUUUAGUUUGGGUGUUUGGUUUCAGAUUUCUCGAGUCGAAUUGCAACCUGGGUAUGAGGAAAAAAAAAAAAACAAAGGAUUUGAUCUUUGGUUACAAGGUGACUUCACCUCUCUCUUUCUGAAACUCAAUUUUGAAGUUGUUGUCCAUAUUUAUUUUUUCACUAUGGCAUAGGUCCUCUAAAUAUCAGCUUUUUAUUUUGUCUUAUGGUUUUAUCAUCGUAUAUCAUGGUUGACUGUCUUUGUUUUCUUAUGCAGUUGCAUGGAGAGCUAUGCAAGGUACUCUCUGCAAUUUAUUGCAAAAUAAUGUCAAUGUCAAUUUUUCCUUCUCUGGAAGUAGCUCGACGUAGGACAAGUUUGGUAUCCAAACUGUUCGUUGCAUGUAGCACUUGAAACGACUUAAGAAUGUUCUUCAGCAUUGCUCAGAAUGUAGUGAACAUUAUUUGGUAGGUAUUCCCUCAAUAUUGCAUUUGUAAUUUAUGCAGUAUUGCUACACCAACUUUUCAAGUAAAAAAUUAUUUCCCCCCUCUAUUCUGGUGUUUAAAUUUGUUUCAUUCAUGAUGAGUUUGUGUAUAAAUUGUACUGUGUGUAUAAUAGGCAAAAUAUUUUUUAUUGUUUAAGCUAUAAUGGAAUCGCAAAUUUAUCAAUUAUAUCCUAGAUUCUUGGUUGCAUAUUCACCUACCCACAACUAUUGCCUUCUGUUUCUUGAUUGGAUAAAUUUUUAUAAUUUCUAGAUCUACUAUUGCAAUGCUUUUGCCGUGUUAAAGUGGAGUUGCAUAUCAUUUUUUUGGUUCACGAAAUUCAUUAUCUGACUAGCUUGGCAAUUAAGUGAUGUAUUUUAUCCGCUCAGGUGAUGUCAAUGGAUCUUGAAGUUGUUGCAGCAAGCUUUAAUUCAUCAGUGUCUCGAUCAUUGUUCCUAUCUGUUGGUCGAAUGGUGAUGUGAGUUAUAUAUAAUUUUAAAUUUUACAUCUUGAAGACUAAUCUUAAGUUGUUUAAUGAUGUUUAUGAAUGCCCUUUAGAUUUCCACAUUUGUUGGUUUCAUUUCUGUAGUUCUAUGGGUGACACGAUUAGAGGUACCAUAGGAAGUUGCAGAAUUUCAUGCGCACUAUUAAGGUUGGACUCUUACUCCCACACACCUCAUUUUUCUUGAAUGUUGACCGGGUUGUAAGUAUUGCUAUUUCUAUAUCAGUUUGUUGAAAUUGGCAAAAACAGCAUGGUUAAGGGGUGGUUUGGGAGUGAGGUGCUUAAAAAAAACACUCAUGAAAAAAAGUUGUGAGGGUUUUAGGUGUUUGGUAAACUAAAAAAAAAAGGCUUAUUUUGGAAGCUGCUGUGAGAAUAAGCUGAAAUCAAAGGAAAAAGCUGAAGCUGCUAUUUGCAGCUUUGGAAAACUGGCUUUUUUUCAAAGCACACGGAGCUACAGUGCUCCUUUAAUGAAAAAACCCACUAUCAGACUGCUUUUUUUUUCAAAAGCACUUUUACAAAAAAGUUUACCAAACACUCUGCUGAUUUAUUUUACAGCCGCUUAUUCUCACAGCACAGUCGCUUAUUCUCACAGCAGCUUUUUUUCAAAGCACAGCGAUACCAAACCAGCCCUAAGUAUGAGUUCGAGAAGAAAACUGGCCUUGUAGUUGUAAGAUUCUUCUUUUUCUUCAAUUACAGGUUGCAUGUCUAAUUUUGUUGAAUUGCAACUUAAUUGAUGAUUAUCCUUCUAGAUGAAUUGUAACUCAAUUGAUUUUAAUUUUUGUUUUCCAACUUAGUUGAUAUGGAAACUGAACUUUUUAAAACCAUAUUCUAUUCCGUUAUAUUACACUAUUGCGUUUGGACUAGCAAUUUUCAUAAGAUGUCACCUAUAAAGUUUGUUGCUUAAUCAUGUCAUAUAUUUUUAUGUUGGAGAUUAUGUAGGUGCUUAGUAUGACGAAAUGGCCCUUGGUUAACUGAGGCGGAAUUCAUGUUCAAUCACCAAAAGUAGAAAUGUUUGCUUCUUUGUUCAAGCAUUUGUUCAAUAAAGAUUGUGGGCAUAGUUGGGAUAGCAUCUCUCACCACUUACGUUUACCAUGCCGCUUUCAUGUUUUUGUACCCAAUUUCAAUUAUCUAAUUAUUAAGAACUUUUUAUUAUAUUUGUUUUAUGAAGAGAAUAAUGUUGCUUACUUUUUCAUACAAUUUUCACUCAUGCGGCAACGCGCAGGUGCAAUUUCUAGUAGAAACUAGACCUUACUAAGAUGUACAAAAAUUGGAAGGACACCUCAGGAAAUGGGUCUGCUCUUAUGUGGCGUUUACUGUUUGGUUUAUUUGGCGUACCAGGUGCGAGUUUGUUUUUAAUCAGGUUCCCAUUCUUCCUUUUAAGGUCCUGUUGGGGGUGUCUUCGGCUGUCGGGGCUUUCUGGGAAGCCAUGGGAUGGUCUGGAGGUGGUGCAGCUCGGCCCUCUGCCCGCUGUGGUCCGAUUCCUCUAUGGAUCCCUCCUCCUGAUUCUUUUGUUAAAAUUAAUGUUGAUGCUAGUUGGUCCCAUGCAUCUCGUUCGGGUUUUGCUGGUGUGGUCAUUCGUGAUGCUUCUGGUCAGUUUGUGGCUGUUGAGCGUUUUGCCUUGUCUACUCCCUCUGUUGCGGUGGCUGAAGCGACGGCUUUGCUGUGUGGCUGUAAGUUGGGGUCCUCGUUGGGCUUUAAAUCGGUAAUAGUGGAAUCGGACUCUAAGGAGUCCAUUGAUUGGCUUUCUGGAGAUGUUGAGGUUGGCAGUUGGAAAGCCUUUCCUGUCCUGACGAGAGUUAAGGUGGAGAGUGAUGCUUUUCAGUUCUGUCGCUGGUCUUGGGUGCCAAGAUCAGCCAAUGGUGCCGCUGACUUUCUGGCGUCGCGGAGUUUUCCGGAGAUGGGUUCUCGGGUUUGGGUUCACAGGCCCCCAUCUUCUCUGGUCUUUGUUUUGAAUAAGGAUGGUCUUCCUUGCCCUCCUUAAUUUUGUUUUGGUGGUGGUGGGGGUGACGCUCGUUGCUGGUGCGUCUGCUUGGUGUAUCCCCUAUCUCUUCUUUCUGUGUUGUUUGCCCUUGUGGUGUUAGCCUCCUGGUAGGCUUCCUGUGCUGUUUGUUUGUUUGUUCCUCCUUUCAAAAAAAAAAAUUGGAAGGACACCUAGGUUCAAGCCAAAAAUAUUGGGAGCAUGAAUUUUUAAAAUUUUGGUAACAAGAGACGAAGAUUAUAAUAAGAAUCCAAUGAGUAAUUUCCAAUAUGUAAAUUUACUUAAGCCAAAAAAGAGAGGCUGAAAAUAGAGAAAAAAUGGCUCACAAUGCAUGCUGGCUCAUGAUUGUAAGGGUAUUUGAAUGCAUGCUAAGCUACUAAGCUUCAUACACUUUAAGUGUGGGAAUUUUGUGUUGAAUUGAAACCAGUGUUGGUAAUUUGGUAUUGAAAUAAUGCAAGCUUAUGAAUGUUGUGUUUAAUUGGUAAUUGUAGACAUCGAAAUUUCGGUAAAUAAAUGUUGACCGAUAAAUCAAAGUGUCAACACUCAUGUAUUACAUAAAUUUUACACGUAGCGUGUGACUCAACGAAAAUUGAAAUGAGUUGGAAAAGUCAUCAAACAGGACACGUGUCAACACCUGGCAGAAAUGACUUAUUUCAUCUGGGAUAUUAUAUUCAAAAUUAGGCCUUGGAAAAUUCUAUAAAUACAAGCCCAUUUCAUUCAUUUGAAUGGGAGGGACCAAUUCAUAUUACACCUUGAAGCUCUGAAGCUCUGAAACUCCGAAGCUCUCAAGCAUCCAGGUUCCCGAAGAAUCAAGAAAGUGUUCUUCGUUCUUCGUUCUUCGUUCAUCGUUCUUCCAAGAUCAAGCCCCAACGGCCCUUUGGAUCAACAAUCAUCCACCAAUUCAAGAUCAAGCCCCGACGGCCCUUGAAGAAAGCACCAUCGUUCAUCAACAGUUCAUCCAAGAUCAAGCCCCAACGGCCCUUUGGAUCAACAACGUCGACAAAUCCACACACAUUCAACCGUUCUUCAAGAUUAAGCCCAAAAGCCCUUGAAGAUCUGUUCAUCACUGUUUCUUCAAGAUCAAGCCCAAAAGCCCCUUGAAGAUCCGUUCAUCACCGUUAUUCAAGAUCAAGCCUCAACGGCCCUUGAAGAAACACUCAUCCUCAAGACCAAGCCCCAACGGCUCCUUGAAGAUUCGCUCAAAUCCACCUUCAAAGAUCAAGCCCACGGCCCUUUGAAGAAACUUCCAACAGUUCAUCCAAGAUCAAGCCCCGACGGCCCUUGGAUCAAUCGCACAUCCAUCACAAAUACACACCUUACGGAGAUCGAAUCAGAGGAUCAAAUUAGAGAGAGAUUGUAACCCAAAAUCAUCAAAUACGAAUAUUUGUUUAUGCACGUCGUUCUUGUCUCUUUCGUUUCAGGAAUUUUCCGGAGAUCGAAUCAGAGGAUCAAAAUAGAGAGAGAUUGUAACCCAAAAUCAUCAAAUACUUAAUAUUUGUUUGUGCACGUCGUUCUUGUCUCUUUCGUUUUUAGGAAUUUUCCGUGUUCACAGUAAUAUGAGAGUAGUUCAAUUUCUUAUAAGCACAUGCAAGAUCCCUUAUUUUCCCAAUGUGAGAUUCACUCUCAACAUGUUCCCUCACAUAUGGUGGGUUUUCAAGUCUAACAUGUGGACAACAAAAAUCGGGUGACGUGGAGCACGUGUGACCGUUAAGCUUCACAUAGGAUAACAUGCUCUAAUAUCAUGAAGAAAGUUAUGGUUCCACCACAAAACUAAUUGACGAUAUAUAAAGUAGUCUAAUCUCUUAUAAGCACAUGCAAAAUCCCUAUUUUCUCUAAUGAGAUUCACCCAACAUAAGCGUUAGGUAAAAACAACUAUUGAUGUGGGCACAUGUUUUAAAUAUACCAAAUGUUGUAUAACAGAAAAACAAACAACUCAUGAAUUAUCUUUGUGUGUAGUGACCAUGGUUGUCCCAAAGUCUUUCAAGAAAAAAGCAAAACAAAACAAAACUGCAAAUGAAUUGAUAGAAAAACAGUUUCUUUGGAAACAAAGUGGGAGUAAGUCUGCAAUCAAUAGACGUUCCCUCCUCGAUUCUUGUAAAGCAGGGAGCCUUGUUGGCUUGGGCUCGCCCUCACUGCAUGCAUCUUCUUUGCAUUGGAAACGUAUACAACAGAGCAAUCAUCUACCAAUUCAUUAGCAAUAUAUUGUUCUUUUCUCUCAGGAUACUAAAAAGCCUUUAACUUAUGCAAAUAAGGAAUGCCCUAUCGUCGGCGUCUCCGCUGCAAAGGAGAUGGAUUAAUUGAGGAAGAUAAAAAAAAAUAAAAAUAAAAUAAAAGCAAAGAAAAAUUGACACAGUUAUGUCAUAUUAGUGCAUGACAUUGAUAAAAAACUUAAAAUAGGAAUAAGAAGCCGAUUCAAUCGGCGUUAUAAUUCUUAAUUACAAAGGAGGGAGUGGAUUCGACAAAGCAGAAGGAAUAGUACUGGAUCUCUGGUGCAAAGGGGGAAGGGGAAGGGGAGGAUCGAACUCUUGUUCUCCACAAUUGCCAAUCUUUCCUAAGCUAGUCUCUUUUCCAACCUAAGAUGUCAUGUCACAGCUCGUCCCAAAAUAUUAUAAUUCUAGACGUGAGAUUACUUAUUUACCCUUGUAUGUUUUGUGUGGUUUUUGUGGGUGAGGUUUUAUAUGGAAAAAUUCUAAAUUUUUCCUACGUUUUUGGAACACUUAGGAAUUAUUUUGAUUGUUUGGUUUUGGUUGAGGACCACAUGUGCCACACAAACAUACACAUUUUCACUCUCUCUCUCUCUCUUCUUCCCGUGCACUCUCUCUCUCUCCUCCUUCUUGACUUUCUCCUGUUUUCGUCAACCUCGUACGGACGAACCGCAAGUUCACCAUUCACACACGGAUCAACAUUAAAAAGGUAAGGAUCUUGUUCCCUACAAGCUUUUGAGUACAUUCGUACCAUUUUUAGGACCUGGAAACCUUAAAAAACCCGAGAACUCUAACCUCCAAUUUGGUGCACUGUUCAUGCACACGUAAAUGUGAAGGUUUCAGUGGAUUUUAAGCUCACAGGGAGCUUUAGAAGGUCCCUACGAAGCUCGGAGAAGAAAAACCAAGCAAUUUGGACGUCAGAAUCGUCAGUUUCAAGCUUGACCGGUUUUUCUCGAAAUUCUUCGGUGAUAUCCUAUGGGAUUUAGGUCCUAAAACUGGUAUGGGUUUGUUCUACUUGUUCUAAGCUUCAUUUUGACAUUUAAUUCGUGAAAUUUGGUUGAAAAUCGAGCAAGAUAUUAAGGUUUAAAGAUUUCCCAGUUUUCGUCGCCAGAGUCCUAGGGUUAGGGGUGACGGAAUAUUCUAUCAAAAUUGACAGAAUAUUCCUAACGGCGUUGGUCAGUUUUAAUGGUUUCCGUUACUUUUAACGGAAUAUUCCUAACGGCGUCAUUGUUACCGUCAGUGUGCUUGGCAUGUAUCCGCGUGUGGGAGGCGCGUUUGGCCAUGCCUUGGCCGGCGUGUGGGUGGUCAGAAAUUUAAAAAAAAAAUAUGGGAAUGUUCGUGAAGUUGUGUAGAUCACGUUGGUAUAUUCAAACACCCUAUUUGAGCAUUGUAUGAGAAGUUAUUAGCUAGUAUUGGUUAGGUGCUUUAAAUUAACGUUUAUUCAGUUAAUUCGCAUAUAGGUGAGACUUAUCCUGAUGACGAGCGCAGUCAAGGGCGACUCGGGGGCUACGACCCUUCGACAUACCAGUUAGUGGGCUUUUGGUUUUCAGUAUAUAUUUAUAUACUUGUUAUUUUCCCAUAAAAUGCGUUUAAAUGAAAGUAUGCCUUGAAUGCGUUGCAUAUAAAAUUAUAUUUUGUAAAUGAAAUAGUAUAUGAUGCAUGAUAUAUAUAAUUGUGGUGUUGUGGAUGCUUAGGUAAGCCCAUGUGAGUUAUGUAUUGUGAUGUGAUUUAAGUUGUGAUUAAUUGAGAAACAUAGAGCUCAUAAACCUGCACCUAGGGUGAUUGUGAUUAGUCAGAGAUAUGGCACAUGCCUGUUAUUAAUGUCACCUCCCGCACCAUAUGCUCACAUUGGAUCCAAUUUAGGUGCACAGUCUUGUCGUAUAGACCAUCAUAGGUGGUUCCAACUUGUAGGUGACUAGCGAUUUAUCGUCCAUCUAUUAUGAGAAAGUAGUAUUGAGCAUAAUUAUAUUACACCCAAUAUUGUCGUACAGACCUUUUCAUUGGUUCCGACUCGAGUGCAGCAUAGUACAGUAUAGGUUAUUGUAGUGACUCCGGCUAGAUUUGAAUAUUGAGCUAUGAAUUCAGCCGAACAUACUUAUGCAGGAGUUCCGGCUAAUAUGUUAUAUUUCCAUGAAUUUAUUCUCACCUGAAUUACUUACUCUGUUAUAUCUUGGCAUGGCAUACUUAUGAUUAUGAAUAUGUGAAGCAUGAUUUGAAUUGAUAUAUUUUCAUAAAUAGUUAUGUAUAUGCUUAUAUUCUAUUUUCUAGGAAAAAUUAUACAUGUUUUACGACGAGGGGUUAGAAAUGUUGAGAAAUAAAAUGGUUUUGUAAAACAUUUGUUUUUGCCCACUCACGUUUUUUGUUUUGCGCCCCUCCAGGUUUUAGUAGACUACUGUUGGUGGCGUGCGAGGAUCCCAGCAGUUCUGACAUAUUAAAAUAAUUGUAGGACAUCUUAUAGUACUGUAUAAUUAGUACUUGUCAUACUGGACUGCACCUAGACUUUUUAUGCUCUGAUUAGGAGUAUUUACUUUUGUAUCUUACUCCUAACACUUUCUGUUUAUUAGUGCACUCUAGUAGUUUCGAUUUUUAAUUAUUCAUAUAUUUCUUAUCCUUAUUGCUUCCGUACUGUGCACAUGACUACGUCACCCUCACAUGACGACCAGCAUGCUCUGAUCUCAGUCGGGGUGUGUCAUGUCCACAAUUGUCAAUCUUUCUCAAGUGCGGUUUAUUUUUUCUCGAGUUAUUUAUAGGCAUAUGGCUUUUGAAUAGUAUCAUUACAUUUCUUAAUGAUAUUUUUCCAUCCAAUUUUACUAACAUGACCAACUUUUCAAUUUCCGAUUAAUGUCUCAUCUACACAAAUACUUAUAAAUGCCUCAAUAGUUGCAUUAUCCCAUAUUGCCUUACUCUUCUUUUCGUUAUUAUACCCGUGUUCAAAUUCUCUACACCUAUUUUGUGUGGUCUUUUAUUAUUGAUUGAGACGUAUUAAGUUUAUGACAACAGAGUUAAGAAGUAAGUUAUAAACAUGUGUCAAUCAAUGAUAAAUGCUACAAAAAAACCACACACAAAAUAAAUGUAGAAAAUUUGAAUUCAUUGUCCCCAUGUGCAUCUUGUGAAUCCUUAACCACAUUUUUUAGAUAUUUAUAUCUCGAGUAAGAGAAAGAGAACAAAAAAAACAUAGAACAUGAUGCACUAUUAAUUAAUUAUGUCCUAGUUAACUAGGCAUAGACCCAAAAUUACAAGCUUAAAAAUAAAAAAUAGGAGCAGUCAUAGAAAGCUAGCAGACACAAAGAACAAAUGAGAAAGAAAAGUAAUUUUAGGCCUUAUGACACCUCAUCUGUCAAUCACAAGUCCGAAGUACUAACGUGGGUUUAGAGUUUUCAAGUCAAAUUCAAUCAAUGCAUGAUGACUGGACCACUCAAUUUACCAGUUACGGGCAAUAGACAUUUGAAAUAAAACUAGCAUUUACAAAAUAGUUAAAUUCAAAUGUAUGUGCAUGAAGAUGGAGAGAGGCUUGGGAAAGAUGCAGACCAAGAGAGCGACUGCUUCAGUCUUCAGCACGAUAUGAAAAACUCACGGGUUUUUUUUAUAGAGAAUUUUAACGAAAAGUUUAUGGUUACUUGAACGAAAACUUAUAUUUUUACACUAAAAAGUCAAUCAUAAUAUUAUUCACUUUACCUUUUAUUUUAUCCUUAUUGUUAAAACUCAAAAUUUUCAAAUUAUUUUCAUUAAUUUUUAUUUUUUUAUAUAGCAGCGUUAAACCUAGAAAAAAUUGGUAAUUUUGAUAUUUUCUCAAAGUCUGAAGGCAUUUUAGACUUUCUAAAUAAAAAAUUAGGAAUAGUUUAGGAACUGAAAAAGUUUUAUUAAAGGGAGCCAAAUAAUUCUCGUGUUUUCACCCGGUAGCACAUUUAGGAGGAGGUGUUUCUUUAAAACCCACUCCAAUUGCUUCUAUUUUUAACUAAAACACUUGUUUGACAAAAAAAAAAAAAAAACCUAAGACACUUGUAAAUUUUUGGCCAAACAACCGUUUCCCAAAAUGAAAACGCUUUUAUGACUUAUUUGGAAGUAUUUUUAAACUGACUGAAAUCACUUUUAAAGAAAAAUAUUUUUAUGUCCAAAAGCACUUCAAGUGCUUUUACAAGAUUAACUUGCAUUUUUACUAAAGAUUAACUCUAAAAACGUUUUUACGAAAAUCACUUUCAGCCAAUUACAAAACACUUUAAAAAAAUGUCUUUAGUCACUAAAAAGCACUUUUAGGUUUAACUAUCCAAAGCACAUGCCAGCAAACCCUAAAUUUUUAACCCCUAUAUAUUGACCAACUAGGGUAACUUCUCAUCCUUUGUCAUCCCAAUAAGACUUGGCAUUUUGGACCCGACCUGUUAAACCGACCCGACCAGACCCGACCCGACCUGACCCGUUAAUAUUAGUAUUUUGGUGGAUACUUAACGGGUCGGGUAGCUAAUGGGCGGGUGAACCCGUUAACAACUCGUUAAAUAAUGGGUCACUUUGAGUCAACCCGUUAGACCCGUUAACACCUAUUAGUUGAGGAUGUUUUAGUAAUUUCAGUAAAGUCUUAACAAUAAAAAAUAAACUCUGAAAAAAAAAUAAUAAUAAUAAUUGUUAACGGAUGAAACGGGUGACUCGUUAGCUUAAUGGGUCUGGUUCGGAUGACCUGUUAACUUAACGGGUCGGAUUGAACCCGAUCCAAACUCGAUAAACCCGACCCGUUUACAGGUCUAAUCCCAAUUGUUGAUGCACCCUUUGCACCCUCCUACAUUGCUUCUUUCUCCUCACGAUCCUCGCAGUUUCCUCUUGAGGUAAUAAAAUAAUGAGUAAUGUUAGGAAAAUUAAAUUUGUAAACUAAAUUAACAAACCAAAUGAGAUGUCAUCAAUAGAAAAUAAGCACGUUUAUCAACAAUUAAUUAAUAAUCCAAUUACUAACUUCCAUGUCAUUUAGUUUACAAAUUUUAGUCUACAAAUUUAGCUUUCCUAGCAUUACUCUAAAAUAAUUAUCCAUUUUAUUUUAUUAUUUAUCCUCUUUCAACUCUUGUCACACAAACCGCAAAACUAGAAGCAACUCGUUAAUAAAGUAAAUUUAAAUAAUUAAAGAAGGGUGGUUUUAUUAGCACCCCACAAUAUUAUGUAUACACCCCACUUUCUUUUAUUUGAUUUGGACACCUUCUUUUAUUUGGUUUGGACUUCCUUUUUUACCCUAUUUAAAUUAGAUAAAAAGCAAACAAACAAAAUCAACAUCACCUUCCUUGCCAUAUUACUCCUCGACAGCCACCCACCAUGGUGGCACCUCCAUUAACAAAAUGAUCUCAAGUAUACCAAAACAUAUGCCGGCUUACAAUUAAACUCAUAGAAAGUCAAUUCAUAGUCACUUACAAUUAAAUUCAUAGAAAGUCAAUUCCUAGUUGACUAUAGAAGGAUCGCUUCUCUGCAAGUAUCAUUUUUCCAUAUUUUUCCCGCCCAUCAUGUAGGUAUCCUUGAUUAGGCUGAUUUCGGCAUUAAAAUUUCAAUUUUAUGGUAUUCCAUGUCUUGUAGAAUAUUAGCAGAAGUGAGAAUUCUAGAGAGAGAGAACGAUGGGAAUGAGGUGGCUAUCAUUGGUUGACGACAUUGACGAAGAAGGUGGCGGCGGGUGAGCGGUUGAGAUAGGGUAUUGGAAGGUUUUCAUUUGUUAAUUAUUGUAAAAAGGUGGGUUGUCUUCAAUAAAUAACAGCGCAAAAAUUGGAAUUUUAGAAAAUAAUUUUGAACUUGGGGUGUAUUCAUAAGAUCGUGUGAUGUUAAUAUAAGAACCCUUAAAGAAACACUAGCAGAAAAAGAAGCCCUAACCUUCUCUACUUUCUAGCUUCUAGAACCUUCUUUUGUUCCUGUGUUCUUUCCAGACCGUUAAACCCUAACCCUAAAGAUAUUUUAGGUUUUAGAUCUAGGGUUUUUGAGGUUUGGUGGUGACUGGAGCUUGGAUUUUAGUUUCAUUUGUUGACUAAUACUCUUAUUUUAAUUUUGAAGUUUUAACGAAACAUUCCCCAUACUGUUCAUUUUUAAUGAAAAACCACAUUUUUAUCUUUUUCUGAUACUAUUCACUACAUAUUUAUUUAUCAUUUUUCAUUAAAACUAAAAGAGUUAUUAUACAAAAUAGUCCCUGAGAUUUGCAUGAUCAAUAAAAAUGGUUCCUAAGAUUGAAAAUCAAUAGAAAUGGUCCCUGAGAUUGUCCACAAUCCAUGAUUUUGGUCCUUUCGUUAAAAACUCUUUGGGGAAUUUUCAAAGCUUUGUAACUCAAUUGUUUCUUAACCAAAUUCGACCCAUAAUAUAUCAAAAUGAAGAUAGGAAAGUGUAGAAUAAGAUUAUACCUAUUUGGAAGCCCAAUGAUUUCCAGAGAUGGCCGGAAAAUAGCCUGAAAUGUGACUGGUCCGCGGGAAAACUGGAAAACUCGCCGGAAACUGGGUAAACUUUAAACGUUCAUAACUUCUUCAAUACUCAACGAAAUCGAGUGAUUCAAAAACGAAAAUCAUACUUCUUGACGAGACUAAGAGCAUAGUACCUUUUCGAAGAUUAAAUAGCUUUGGUUUGGUCGGAAAAUGGCUCAAAAGUGGCUAACCAUUUUCGAGUUAGCCACUUUCGAGCAGUUUUCCGGCCAAAUCAUGGCGAGUCAGCAGUAAAAAAAGAUUCCAUUCUCUUUGUCUCAUCGAGAAUUAUGAUUUUCAUUUUUGAAUCACUCAACGCAUUUUUGAAUCACUCAACUGCGUUGAGUAUUGAAGAAGUUAUGAACGUUUAAAUUUUACCCAGUUUCCAGCGAGUUUUCCCGUUUUCCCACUGACCAGUCAUCUUUCAGGCUAUUUUCCGGCCAUCUCCGCCAAUCAUUGGGCUUCCAAAUAGUUAUAAUCUUGUUCUACACUUUCUUAUCUUCAUUUUGAUAUAUUAUGGGUCAAAUUUGGUUGAGAAUCGAUUGAGUUACGAAACUUUGAAAAUUGCCCAAAGAGUUUUUAAGGAAUGACUAAAAUCAUGGAUGAUGGACAAUCUCAGGGACCAUUUUUAUUGAUUUUAAAUCUCAGUGAUCAUUUCUAUUGAUCAUGCAAAUCUCAGAGAUUAUUUUCAAUCUCAGGGAAUCUGAUUUUGCGAGGGAGAAUGAGGUCGUGGGGGAUUUGGAAGGGAGGGUUUUGGGGAAAUUGGAGAAUUUUAGGGAAGAAGAAGAAGAACCGGAGUGGGGUUGAUGUACGGAUAGGAAAGAGAGAUGAGGCGUGGGAGGGUAGCGUUGGUUGAAACUUGAAAGCUGGAAAAAGUGGUGAGCGACGGAAAAGGUGGAGGAAGCUGGGAGUCCCAGGUGUCACAUAAUUCAUCCCAAUUUGACAGCAAGACAAAAGGCCAAACUCGGAAUACCAUAAAAUAAUCGGGGGUAAAAUCAGAAAUCCACUGUACUAUGAACAGUAUUUCAGUUCAUUUUCUCUUUUAGUAUAUAUAUAAUUUGAUGAGAUUAUGUUUUUAAGUAAAUGUUAUGUUCUUUACUAGGCUGUUUGGAUGCAAUUUGAUUACAUUUUCCGUUCGAUCUGCAACUAAUUUUCCUAUGCCUAUUGCAGCAAUGAUACCAAUCCCAUGGCGCUGAAGGCAGAGGAGAAUGCAAGUCUGCAACGCGAGAUGAAGUUGUUUAUGGCUACACUAAUUGCCAUGGCAACCUUCUAUGCUGGACUUUACCCUUCACGCGCUCUUGUUAAGAACCAGUUCCUUUUCCAACUCUUUGAAGUUUUCAAAGCCACAGGGUUUUUCAUCUCCAUUUGGAUGAUGAAAAUCCUCAGCAGGGGUUCCCCGAUCAAGUUUACAUUGAAGCCGCUCCUCCCUUUACUGUGCCUUGUUUACAUACUGUGCAUUGCUGUCACAUUAAAAAGCACUUCUAAGUUUUAACCAUCCAAAAGCACAUGCCGGCAAACCCUACAUUUUUAACACCUAUAGAUUGACCAACUAGGGUAACUUCCCAUCCUUUGGAAAAUGAUGAGAUCCCGUGAUCGUGACCGUUUAUUGUAUAUCAUACGAUCAGAAAUCAUUUAAAAUUUAAAAUUUAAUAUAAAUAAUACCUAAUGAAAACUGAUCGCACGAUAUAUGAUGAACGAUCAUAAUCACAAAAUUCUCAGAAUCUCCAAGAAAAUGAUCCUUUUGUCAUCCCAAUUACCGCUGCGUCAUUUUCACCCUCCCACAUCCCUUCUUUCUCCUCACGGUCCUCGGAGUUUACUCUUGAGGUAAUAAAAUAAUUAUCCAUUUUAUUUUAUUAUUUAUCCUCUUUCAACUCUUGUCGCACAAACCGCAGCACUAGAAGCAGCUUGUUCAUAAAAAGUAAAUUUAAAUAAUUAAAUAAACACUAGUAGAAAGAGAAGCCCAGACCUUCUCUACUUUCUAGUUUCUAGAACCUUCUUUUGUUCGUGCGUUCUUUCCAGACCGUUAAACUCUAACCCUAGAGAUAUUUUAGGUUUCAGAUCUAGGGUUUUUGAGGUUUGGUGGUGACUGGAGCUUGGAUUUUAGUUUCAUUUAUUUACCAAUCCUUAUUUUUUUGUCAAUGAAUUGUCAUUAACGAUUUUAUCUUGUUCUGUUUCAGAUUCUUGAUUUUUUUUUUAUGAACAUGGCAAAGAGGUCAUUUUUCUUUUUUAUUUUGUUUUAUCUUUGAAUGUUUUUGUUUUAGUAUAUGAUUGUUUUGAACUUGUGAUGUUACUCUGCAUUUUUUUUGCCAUUUAAGUCAAUGUGUUCUCUGAACAAAAUAGAGGAUUAGGCAAGAUUAGUCUUCCAGUGUUAGUCUAAAAGACGUUGGAACUUCAUGUAUUAGAUUAUGAUUGUCGUAAACUAGUGAUGCUACUCUGUUUUGUUUUUGUUUUUGUUUUUUUUUUUACCCUUUGAGUAUAUGCGUUCUCCGAAAAUAGAGGAUUAGGAGAGAUUAGUUCUUCAGUGUUAGUCUAAAGGACGUCAGGGCGCCAUAUUUUGAUUAUACGUGUUGUGAAACUUGAGAUGCUACUCUGCAUGUCAUUUAAGUAUAUGCAUUGUUUGAAAAAUAGAGAAUUAGGCGAGAUUAGUUAUUUAGAGUUAGAAGUAAUGCUAUUGGCCUUAACUUCUGCUUUGGUUGGCUUGGGUAGGCUGACCGGCAAACCAGGGUAUGUUCUUUGCCAGGUUUAUGUUAAGAGUUAUCCCACAUUGGUGAGGGACAAUGUUUGCUAUGUACUUAUAUGAUCUUGAGUCACUCCAAUAUUGCUAAUUGGUUUUAUGGUGGAACCCCAAUUUCAUCAUGGUAUCAGAGCAAGGUUGUCCACGUGUGAAGCCCAACGGCCACACGCGCUCCACGUCACCCAGUUGUUAUUCACGUGUAGGCUUGAAAAUCUGCCACACGUGCAGGAGCGUGUUGAUGUUGGGAAAAAAACUUAGAGUACACAACUCUAACACAAGUAAACAAAUUACUUGUAUUACACACACAAAAUAUUACAACACUCACAAUGACACAACUUUAGAAGCAACGACACUCACUCACUUUCUAGAGACACACUCUAAAUCACUCACACUCCUACAAAACUAUUCUUGCUUCUCACUCUCACUUGGUUGCCUACUACUACUACUACUUGAUUUCUUGUUGGUUGAUAACACACAUACAUACAUAUUUAUAGUGAGGUUUGCCGACUUACAAAGUUGGCUAGAACAUUACAGUGCAAUGGUUAUGCAUUGCACCGACUCACACAUGCAAACCGACUUGGGCUUUUUACAACAGCCACACAAUUUGGCUUUUAGGUCUUUCUACAAUCAAACCAUUCACCUAGAUUUUCUUAAGCCUAAGACGGUGGACAUAGGCUUUUCCACCCAAACACUAAUUGCUGCACUUUGCUGGAGUUUUCUAGCAUAUUCUUAAUAUGCAUGCACCUUUUAUACAUACACCACUGACUAACAAUCUUGCUAGAAUUAUCUAGCAUUUUCCAGCAUGCAUCGGCCACCUUCAAUAUUACUUGCUAGAAUCUUCUAGCACAAUCCCAUGCAUAUUUGAACUAGAAUAAUUUAGUUCAUUUGUACCGACUGAUCUUAAUAGGCUGGUGUUGAUCUUUAACAGUUGAGAGUUGUCCCACAUUGGUGAGGGACAAAGUUUGCUAUGUGCUUACAUGAUCUUGGGCUACUACCUAUAUUGCCAAUUGGUUUUAUGGUGGAACCCCAAUUUCAUCAGUUUAGAUACAACUGGUUUUAUUGUUGAAUGCUAUUGAUUUAGAUUCGCAAUGUUCCUCUGGUUUUUUUGCCAAUGAAGUAUGUGUUGUUCGAAAACGUUUACGAUUUACAGGUUUGUAUUCUUGUUUUCCCAAAGUUAAUGAGGAUUUGAUGAGGUUAGUUUUUUUGUGUUAGUCGAAAAGAAUCCGGACCACACCACAGUUUUAUAUUCUCAUUUAACUUGUGAUGGUCCUCUGUUAUAGCAUAUAUUUGAUGAGAUUAUGUUUAUAAGUAAAUGUUCUGUUCUUUACUAGGCUGUUUGGAUGCAAUUUGAUUACAUUCUCCGUUCGAUCUGCAACUGAUUUUCCUAUGCCUAUUGCCGAAAUGAUACCAACCCCAUGGCGCUGGAGGCAGAGGAGAAUGCAAGUCUGCAACGCGAGAUGAAGUUGUUUAUGGAUACACUAAUUGCCAUGGCAACCUUCUAUGCUGGACUUUACCCUUCACGAGCUCUUGUUAAGAACCAGUUCCUUUUCCAACUCUUUGAAGUCUUCAACGCUGCAGGGUUUUUCAUCUCCAUUUGGAUGAUGAAAAUCCUCAGCAGGGGUUCCCCGAUCCAGUUUACAUUGAAGCCGCUCCUCCCUUUACCGUGCCUUGUUUACAUACUAGGCAUUGCAAAUAUGUUUUCUUGCUCCUGCUGCACCUGCAGGUUAUGGAUGUGAUAAUGUAAUUCGGUCAGAAACAUGGUAACUCUGUUGUCUAACUGGCGUUUUCGGGCACCUGAAGUUUAUGAAUGUGAUGUAAUUCUGUAGAAACAUGGUACCUUGUUAUGUAACUGGUGUUUUCGAAAACCCGAAGCUUAUGAUGUUAAUUAACUGGUGUUUUUGGGCACCUGAAGUUUAUGUAGUGGAUUUGCAAGAUUUGUGACUACUUGUUUAAUUGCUGUAUUUGAAUACAGUUUCAUCAAUAGAGCAGAUGUGAUUUAGUUCCUUUAGUGAAUGAAAAGUUUUGAUGUAACAGGUUUGAUAGGGGGGAUGCACAUAUAUCCCUAUUACGAAUAACAUAUCUUGAUCAUAAAAAUUAAAUGAUCAGGAAACAUAUCAAGUAAAUGAACGAUUUAUUAUGAAUAUGUUACUUUGUUGAUGCACAAAAUCAGCGAGGACUUUGGUACAACAGAAAGUGUCAGGUUUGUGACCUUCGCUUGGUUGCUUCGAUCACUAGUGAAGAUAAGUACGUAAAUGAAUAGGGACAGGGAAGCAAACACAAGAUGUACGUGGUUCACCCAGAUCGGCUACAUCCACGGAGUAGAGGAGUUCUCAUUAAUUGUGAAGGGUUUACACAAAUACAUAGGUUCAAGCUCUCAUUUUGUGAGUUCUAGUGAAUAGUUUAGUACAAAAUGACAUUAGAGAUUAUUGUGGGAGAAUGAUCCCUAUUUAUAGAAGAGAGUUUCUAGUUUUGUUCUAACAUUGACACGUGUCGUGUUGUGAUUGGCUUCUGAUGUUGACACGUGUCGAGCUGUGAUUGGCUUCUGAUGUCGACACGUGUCGCAUUGUGAUUGGCCUCCUGGUUGAAGGGAAGCUCUUCUGGGUCUUCGACGGUAUAACGUUGACCGGUGCUCAGUAGUUUCGAGAUUGGUCAAGUAUGGUACAAACAGUGCUCCCCUAAGUUCCCGAGUGAGGGAAGCUCCUCGGUUGGGGACUUGCAAGAUCCAAGCCAUUGAGUAAUCACGAAACUUCUAAGUACUGAAGUGUGGUAUCAUUUUCACGUGCCUUAUCUGUCUCAUAUGUAGAUGUGAUAUCUUCUCUGGAAGUACUUUUCCUCCAUCCAUGGAUGGUAUCUUUAACCGAUGAAGAUGCACAAGGUAAUGUAUCAAUUUCACUUGAAGCUUACUUGUAGUUUCGGGCUUGGUCAAGUGCGAUACAAACCCUAUAGUAGGAGUCUCCGAGAGAUAAGAAAAAUAAAUUACAUCACUUUAAAGUAAGGAAAAUAAAUCACAUCAUUCUGGUGGGGUGUUUAUUCCUCACUUUUUCUUUCUGCUUUUGUUUUUGCUUUCUCUUUUCCACCACACAUCUCUCUGUCUCCGUCUUUGCGCUACUGUCCAUUUGUAAAGAGCAUCUUUAGAGGUCAUCACUUAUGAACCCCACGACCACUUUCUUUGAAGGUCAUCAACCCACAUGUGCUUGCAUGCACCCCUCUUUAAGAAAUUCAUAUUCAAUGGUUGCUUUGUCUAUCUCUAUCUCACAUAUUAUAUCACCCACUUCUAUCUUAUCUCCUUUCUUUCUCCACUUAAAAAUGUUUCCUUGACUCAUUGUCGGUGAUAAAGCUGGCAUUUCAACGACAAUGUGAGCAGGAAGUUAUGAUGUGUCGAGCUAGGAGAUCUGCCGAAAGACGUGACAGACAAGGUAAGCAGUCAAACUUCCAAGCAAGCAACCCAGGAUCGGAGGUUCGACUUCGGCUUCCGGUUGAUUAUUCUCCUUCUCCUUGUCUCUCAUUCAGCUGCUAGGAUAAGGAGAAGCAAAUGGAGAAGAGAUGAUAUGAGAUACUUUUGCUUUUGAAGAAGUAACUUUCCACAGGCUUAUUCUUGAACUGUGCUGGAGGGUUUUCUGGUUCCCUUCAGAGUAUAAGGCCGACUCAAGAAUUUGAGGGUCAAAACAAGUCCAUCAAAUCUAGAGUACGUUCGACCUUGAUGAUAUGGGAUACUUUUGCUGUUGACGGAAUACUGAAUGUGGUAUGGAAAGGUGUCGUGCUGUAGUGAUCUGUUUCAGCUCACCGUUGAACCUUCUGCUUCAAUCUUUUGCAUGGCAGAAGUGGUGUGCAACCUUUGCAUUUAAAUGGUCCUUCAGAACAUUCCUUCAUAGUGACUCAUCCACGCUUGGCAGCUUCAGUGUAAAGAGCCAAUAUCUGAUCAACUGUCAUGAGGUAUGUGCCGGUGGAAUUCAUGACCUUGACAACAGUUGAGGAUGAGUUCUCGAGAGCAAUGCUAAGUAAGCAACCAGGCAAAGGUCUCAGGCAGUCAGUUCCAGAUUGGAGGUUUGAUUUCAAGUUCCGACUGACUGCUCUCUUUCUCUUUGUCCUGCAGGUGUGGACAAGGACGAAGACAAGGACAGGGAUAAAGCAUGAUAUGGGAUACUCUUACUUUCGACCCUGAUGAUAUGAGAUACUCUUGUUCUUGGUGUGGCUUAUUUGCUGAGGUAUUAUCAGGGGGAAAUAAAGCUAAGUAUUUCGAGAGGUUAUGUUGAGGGUGCAUUCUCGAAUGCGAGAAAGGGUUAAGCAUUUUUGCAGGUUUGCCUGUCCGUUGAGGAGGGAGGUCGAUGUAUAUAGGGAUUUCCCAAUAACAAGUAGUAAUGUUAUUCCCUUACCCUUCUUGGUCACAGCAAUGUAGUGGGAGCUGCCAGCUUCACGUGUUUUAACUUUGUCAGAGCACUUUGAAAAAGUGGUAUGUGGUAUCUGGAAAGCUAAUGUUGCGUGUGAAGAUUACAGACAAGCUUUAUCUAAGGAAAUCUGGCUCUCGAAGUUCUGAGAGCUGUGCCUCUUCGGUUUUCGAACAAGCAAUCCCGUCGGGGAUCUGGCUCUCGAGAUUCGGAAAGCGGUGCCGCUUCGAUUUUUGAGAAAGUAAUUAUGUUGAGAGUCUUUUCUCGAAUGUGAGUAAAGGUUGGACGUUCUUGCUAGCCUAUCUUGCCACGGAACAUGGAGGUCGACACACAUAGGGACUUUCCAGUUGUCAAGCAGUGGUGUUGUUCCUUUACCCUUGUGGGUAAUAGUAGGGUAGCUGGAACUUCGAAAUUCUCGCGCCUAAACUUUGUCAGAGAUCUUUGGCAAAGUUAUAUGUGGUACCCGAGGAGUUGAUGGUGCGUGUGGAGAGUGGUGAUUGAACAGCAAGAUUCGCGUGCUUUCUACUUCACUAGAAAUCUUUGACAGAUUACCCGUAAUUUCUGCAAAGCUAAGUGUGCAUGUGACAGGUGCUGACGAGGCUGAAAAAGAAGGUGCUUCUUCGAUUUCUGAGAUCGGCCCUCGUGGUCUCUGAGUACCCCAACUUUUGAGAAAGGAAGCGCCUCUUUGAUUUUUGAGAUCGGCCCUCGUGGUCUCCGAGCAGCCCAGCUUUUGAGAAAGCAAACGCCUCUUCGAUUUCUGAAGCUCCGUCGAGUGCAGAUUUUUAUAGAGGCUGGCAUUAAGUUCCACAGCACACUUGAAUCUCCACCAGUAUAAGCUCCCUUCUUGCACUUCUAAGAUCUUGAUUUGUCUGACCUCUUCCCUCUUCAACACCUUUGAAAAUGUUUGGCCCCUCCGACCGUCGUUUUGACUUGAACCUUGGAGAAGAGACAGCCAUGCCUUCUCCAGACAACAUAUGGCGGCCAUCCUUCAUAUCCCCUACUGGUCCUCUUACCGUUGGGGAUUCUGUGAUGAAGAAUGAUAUGACCGCUGCGGUGGUGGCCAGGAACCUUCUCACUCCAAAAGAUAACAGACUACUUUCCAAACGGUCUGAUGAGUUGGCUGUUAAGGAUUCUCUGGCUCUUAGUGUUCAGUGUGCAGCUUCUGUGUCUAAUAUGGCCCAACGCCUAUUUGCUAGAACCCGCCAAGUUGAAUCAUUAGCUGCUGAAGUGAUGAGUCUCAAACAGGAGAUUAGAGUGCUCAAGCAUGAGAAUAAACAGUUGCACCGGCUCGCACAUGACUAUGCUACAAACAUGAAGAGAAAGCUUGACCAGAUGAAGGAAUCUGAUGGUCAGGUUUUACUUGAUCAUCAUCGGUUUGUGGGUUUAUUCCAAAGGCAUUUAUUGUCGUCGUCUUCUGGGGCUGUACCGCGUAAUGAAGCUCCAAAUGAUCAACCUCCGAUGCCUCAUCCUUCUGGGGUUUUGUCCAGUACUGAGGCUCCGGAUAACCACCCUCCGGUGCUUUCUCUUUCUGGGGCUCUACCGACUGCUGAGACUUCCCCUAAGCAACCUUUGUGAAGGCUCCCUCUUGUUUGUUUAUUUUGAUUCAUGUAUAUGUACAUAUUUGUAACUUAUCGGAAAUAUCAAUAAACAAGAUUUGCUUCAUUUCAACGUAUUGUGUUAAAUACACCAAGGCCUUCUUCACUAAGUUCUUUGAAUUUUUCCUUUUGUUGAAGCUUGUAUGUUGAAACUUUGUGAGUGAAGUAUGUAGGUUGAGGUAGUGCUCCCUUAAUUUCCCGAGUGAGGAAAACUUCUCGUUUGGAGACUUGAAAAAUCUAAGUCACUAAGUGGUCGUGAAACUUCCGAGUAUCAAGGUGCAGUAGCAUAUGGUAGGAGUCCCCAAAGACUCUGGUCGAGGGAGUUGACGAAUGAGGCAUUUUCUUUCUAAGUGGUAGCCUAAAACUCCUUCUUCAUAUAUAUUUGUUAUGAAAGUUGUUAGGCCCAAAGAAGAGGAGGCCUAGGCAAUUUUUUUUUUUUUUGAAUUUUUAAUUUUUUGAAUUUUUUUUUUUUUUUGAUUUUUUUUUUUGAUUUUUCAAAUUUCCGGAUUUUUGAAUUUUCGAAUUUCCGAAAAAAUAAAAAUUAAAAAUAAUAUAUAUAUAUAUAUAUAUAUUUAAAAGUUUUGUUGGUGAAGCUUUGGUGUUAAAGCUUUGUAGGUGAAGCUUUGAGGUUGAAGCUUUGUUGGGCAUCAUGAAUUGAUUUUGCUUCACACUAUCUUGAUGAAGAGUGUGUGAAGCUUUUAUAUGUUUUGGUGUUGAAAUUUUGUAUUGUAGGUGAAGCUUUGGGGUUGAAGCUUGAUAGGUGAAGCUUUGGUGUUGAAGCUUUAUAGGUGAAGCUUUGGUGUUGAAGGGUUGAAGCUUUAUAGGUGAAGUUUUUGGUGUUAAAGCUUUAUAGGUGAAGCUUUGGGGUUGAAGCUUUAUAGGUGAAGCUUUUGUUGGCACCAUAAAUUAAUUUUGCUUCACACUAUCUUGAUGAAAAUAGUGCAAAGCUUUUGAGAUUGAUAUUUGUCCUCCAUUGAUGAAGCUUUUGUUGGCACCAUAAAUUGAUUUUGCUUCACACUAUCUUGAUGAAGAUAGUGCAAAGCUUUUGAGAUUGAUAUUUGUCCUCCAUUGAUGAAGCUUUUGUUGGCACCAUAAAUUGAUUUUGCUUUUGUUGGCACCAUAAAUUGAUUUUGCUUCACACUAUCUUGAUGAAGAUAGUGCAAAGCUUUUGAGAUUGAUAUUUGUCCUCCAUUGAUGAAGCUUUUGUUGGCACCAUAAAUUGAUUUUGCUUCACACUAUCUUGAUGAAGAUAGUGCGAAGCUUUUGAGGAUUGUAGUUGUGUUCCAUUGAUGAAGCUUUGUUGAAUUUCCCAAUUUCCAAUUUCCUCUUUUUUUGUUUUUUGUUUUUUUUUUGUUUUUGUUUUUUUUGUUUUUUUUGUUUUUGUUUUUUUUUUUUUUUUUUUUUGGGAAAACUAGAAAUUUGAAAAUGUGGGAGAGACAACGUAUACAAAUUUUGCUUCCAUACUGUUAAGCGAGAGAUUGUGAUGCAAGCCAUAUCUUGUAGUAGUCGAAGGUUUGGAUGAACCAUAUAAAUUGAAUUUGCUUCGAACAGUCUUGAUCAAGAGCGUUUGAAGCUUUCUAUGUGUUGUAGUGUUUGCAUUGUUACAGAGGAGAAAUGUCUGAAGCAGAUGCAAGAGGGCUGAAGAGCUUGAUCUUCGUAUACCAUGCAUUGAAGCCAUUGUUGGCUUGCAAUAAGACUUUGUUGGUGACUAUAGCUCUUGUUAGGCAUAAGUGCUCCCCUAGUUGAGUUGUAAAGCUUGAUGGUUUUUUAUUAUUUGUGAAUGCUAGGAGUUCACAUGUACAAGUUGUACCACUCGUCUUCUGGUUAGUGGAAUGAAUGGUGGGUUGCUUUCAUCACUUGGUUGGUGGUACGAAUGUGAAUUCCUUAAUCACCUUUCAUCACAUUUCAUCACCUGGUUGGUGACAUGAAGAAGAGUACGCGUUGUACAUUUCAUCACCUGGUUGGUGGCAUGAAGGAAAGUACGCGUUGUACAUUUCAUCACCUGGUUGGUGGCAUGAAGAUGAGUUCCUUCUUCACCUGAUUGGUGAUAAGGGUGGCAAGUUUCCAAAUAAUAUUAGAGUACGGGUUGUACAUUUCAUCACCUAGUUGGUGGUACGAAGGUGAGUUCCUUCAUCACCUAGUUGGUGAGAAUAAGGGCAAGGUGUCGAGGCACAUUGUGGCAAAUGUCGAAUGACACAAAGUGUGUUGAACCCUUUCGAAGCACAGUUGGCUUAUGUAUGGAUGUGUUGGAAUGUAUGAUGUUUAUGCAUGAAUGUGUUGGAAUGUAUGAUGUUUAUGUAUGAAUGUAUUGGAAUAUUGGAAUAUAUGAUGUUUAUGUAUGAAUGUGUUGGAAUGUAUGAUGUUUAUGUAUGAAUGUGUUGGAAUGUAUGAUGUAGAUCCUUUGUAUAGUCUUGUUGACACAUACUUAGAUUUUGUUUUGUAUUGGAAACAUUUGCGUUGAAGCUUCAACACUUGAGUGUUUCAUUGCUCAGAAUGGAAAAUAGUUUAUGGCCGAGUUGGCUAAAUCACCUCUUUAUUGAAUUCAUACCAAAUGGUCUUUGUUACAUAGGAUGCCGAACGGCUGUAGCUUAACACUUGUACUAUGUGAGUCUAUUUGUAAUAAUACUUCAAGUGGUCAGCAUUCCAUGGAUGGCCAAGGGUCUUGCCGUCGGAGUUUCUGAGCUUGUAGGAGCCAGGGCGGUUGAUGCCGACGACCUCGAACGGUCCGUCCCAGUUAGGACUAAGUGUUCCUUCACUCGGGACCCUAUCACAGAGUAAUCUUUUCUUCAGUACCCAGUCUCCCACUUUGAAAGAGCGAGGUUUGACCUUUGAGUCGUAGUAGUUGGAAAUGCGCUGCUUGUAGGCGACAUUCCUCAGGUGAGCCUGAUUUCUGUGUUCCUCGACUAGAUCCAAGUUGAGGGUGAGUUGUUUGUCGUUCUCACUCUGCAUGUAAUUCUGGAUUCGGUAUGUUGCUUGCUCAAGCUCAACCGGGACAACUACUUCUGUACCAAAAGCAAGUGAGAAUGGAGUUUCUCCUGUGGAAGUCCGAUAUGAAGUGCGGUAUGACCAAAGAACUUGGGGUACGAAUUCUGGCCAACAACCUUUAGCUUUGUCCAAGCUAGUUUUCAAAAUGCGCUUGAUUAUUUUGUUAACGGCCUCGACUUGUCCAUUAGACUGGGGAUGGGCUGGAGAGGCAAAACAUAAGUUGAUGUUGAACUUAGAGCAGAACAUUUUGAACUUCUUGUUGUCGAACUGCCGCCCAUUGUCCGUGACUAUCGCAUCGGGAAUGUCGAAUCUACAGAGGAUGUUCUUCCAUACGAAGUCUUCUAUUUUUCCCUCAGUAAUGGUUGCCAAGGGUUCUACUUUAGCCCACUUUGUGAAGUAAUCAACUGCAACGAUUGCAUAUCGGACCUUGCCCUUCCCUGCAGGCAUUGGGCCAAUCAAAUCAAGUCCCAAUUGGGCGAAGGGCCAAGGGCUGAUCAUAGGAGUGAGCGGCUUGGGAGGGGAGUGAGGGAUAGUUGCGUAGCGUUGACACUUAUCACAUGAGCAAGAUAUUCUGAUGGCAUCUUGGUGGAGUGUUGGCCAAUAGUAUCCUUGGCGAAAAGUCUUGUGUGCUAGGGAUCGAGACCCAGCAUGAUCUCCGCAGACUCCUUCAUGUAUUUCCCGAAGGACAAUUUCCGCCUCCGCAGGUGUAAGGCAUCUUAGGUAGGGCAGGGUAAAACCGCGCUUGUAGAGUUGGUCAUUAAUGAUCAGGUAGCGAGCAGACUUGUAUCGAAUCUGCUUAGCUUGGACUUUGUCAUUUGGGAGGGUGCCAUGGGCAAGGAAUUUAUAAAUUGGGGUGAUCCAACUAUCUCCUUGUUGUAAAUUGCACACUUCCGCGACCAUGGUGCUUGGUGCUGCCAACAAUUCGACAUGAAUUUUUCUCCCAAUCUUGUCUUCCACUGCCGAGGCGAGGCGGGCCAAAGCGUCUGCAUGACUGUUUGCCGCUCGAGGAACUUGGGUGAUCUGGUAGUGGAAGUGCUUGAGCAAAAGUCGUGUUUGCGCAAGAUAUGCUGCCAUGGAGCUAUCCUUAGCAUCAAAGUUGUUCGUGACUUGGUUGACCACUAAUUGGGAGUCACUGAAGAUAUCAAUUUGUUUAACUCCAAGAUGCUUGGCCAAACGUAAGCCUGCUAGAAGGGCUUCGUAUUCGGCCUCGUUGUUCGAUGCCUUGAAUUUGAAACGAAUAGCUUAUUCUAUCGCCACUUUGUCAGGGGUAGUGAGGACUAAUCCUGCUCCGCAGCCCUGUUGGUUGGAUGAGCCAUCAACAUAUAGACUCCAUGCUGGGGUUGUUGAUUCUAUCUUCUGAGCUUCCGAUGGUAAUGAAGCUAUUGCUUCAGGUGUAGAAGCAAUGUCAACAGGAUAUGUGAAGUCGGCGAUGAAAUCUGUUACUGCUUGACCCUUUUCGGCAGGUUUUGGUUGGUAGGAGAUGUCAAACUCACCCAAUGCUAUCGCCCAUUUGAUCAUUCACCCAGACGUGUCAGGACUCUGGAGUAUAUGUCGAAGAGGGUGAUUGGUAAGCACGAUGAUGGCGUGUGCUUGGAAAUAAGGGCGAAGUUUUCGAGCAGACAUGACCAAUGCUAGAGCUAAUUUCUCAAUGUUGGAGUAUCGUGUCUCCGCAUCUUGUAGGGCCUUGCUAGCAUAGUAAACGGGUCGUUCGACACCACUGUCAUUUAGAAUAAGAACAGAACUGACUGCUGAAGCCGAAACCGAUAGAUAGAUAAUGAGAGUGUCACCAACUUCUGGUUUGGAGAGCAGAGGGGCUUUACUCAUGUAAUCUUUGAGGUUCCUGAAUGCCUUGGCACAUUCCUCCGUCCAUGUAAUGUACUUCUUAUUUCCCUUGAGUGCUUUGAAGAAAGAAACACAUCUGUCUGUGGCCUUAGAGAUGAAUCUGGUUAAGGCUGCCACCUUGCCAGUAAAGCUUUAGAUGUCUUUUGAAGUUACUGGCUCUUUCAUGUCGAUGAUUGCUUUGAUCUUUUCGGGGUUAGCUUCAAUGCCUCGUUGGCUAAUCAUGAAGCCUAAGAAUUUGCCAGAGCCCACGCCGAAGGCACAUUUGUUGGGGUUCAACCUCAUUCAGCAUGUUUGCUCUUGACUAACAUAUCAUCAACGUAAACUUCCAUGCUCUUCCCAAUCUGUUCGGCGAACAUUGAAUUGACCAGUCUCUGAUAAGUUGCUCCCGCAUUCUUUAGACCGAAGGGCAUGACUUUGUAGCAAUAUAGUCCCCUGUCAGUAGUGAAGGCUGUGUGUUCUUGGUCUGAAGGGUUCAUGAGGAUUUGGGUGUAUCCUGAAUAAGCGUCCAUGAAGCUCAAGAGCUCACACCCUGCUGUAGAGUCUAUAAGUCUAUCAAUGAGAGGAAGGGGGAAACUAUCCUUUGGGCAUCCUUUGUUUAGGUCGGUGUAGUCAACACACAUUCUCCACAAGACCUUUUAAAGCAGGAGACUUUCCUUGGUCGGAUUUUUCUUAACAAGGACAACAUUUGCUACCCAUGUUGGGUAAUUGACUUCACGGACGAAGCCUAUGUCCUUGAGUUUUUCAACUUCUGCUUUCAUCGCCUCGUAUCGUUCAACAUCAUAAGAUCUUCGCUUCUGUUUUACUGGUUUGGUCUUGGGAUCAAUACUCAAAUGGUGACAGAUGAUAUCGGGAGAGAUGCCCGGCAUAUCUUUAUAUGACCAAGCGAAGACCUCGGCGUUCUCUUGCAAAAAGGAGAUCAGCGACAACCGAAGGGGUGAUAAAAAAGUGGUGCCAAUCUUCACCAUGCGAUCUGGAUGGUCUUUGGAGAUAGAGACAUUCUCUAACUCUUCAGCGGGUUGUGCUUGCUGGGUGAAUGAGUCAUCUCGAGGGUCGUCGGGUUGACUGGUGCCAUCAUGAAGAUCCGAGUUGGCUUCAUCUGGACUGGUCUUUACUACCUGGUUAUGUAUAGAGAUGGUCUCCUUGGGGACAGGCAGGUGUUGUUGCUUAACUGAAGUGUUGUAACAUGAUUGAGCACUAAGUUGAUCUCCCUUGAUGUAUCCAUUACCGAAAGGGGUUGGAAACUUCAUCAACAUAUGUGUGGAUACCAUGGCCUUGAGAUCAUUGAUGCCUGUGCGCCCAAAGAUGACAUUGUAUGCCGUCGGGCAAUUGACCACUAGGAAGUUAGUGGUAAUAGUAGCUGUGUAGGGGCCUGUACCAAUGGUGAAGGGUAAGUGUAUACUCCCUAAAGGUUGCACGAUAUCGCCAGAGAAGCUUAUCAGAGGAGAAAUCGAGCUAUCGAGCAAGUGUUCAGCUACAUUAAGUGCCUUGAAAGCUUCAGCAAACAUGAUAUUGACUGAAGCACCUGUGUCUAUCAGGAUUCGUUUCACAUCAAAAUUUGCUAUGUGAGCCUCCACGAUCAGCGGGUCGUGAUGGUAGAUAAUACCUCUUUCUUCCUCAGGGUAGAAACAUAUUGGAUCCCAGUUAGGUUUUUGAUACUUGCCUCCCCUGAUGUCUUCCACGUGAAACACUUGAUGGCCAGGUUUCAAAGUUCGUUCACUGUUUUUCAUAGCCCUAUUGGAAGAUUCAGACAUAGGUGUGCCGCCGCUUAUAGAAUAUAUCACAUUCACCUGGCGUUGGUUACGGUUAUCCCUUGGAGGGUGAAGGAGGAACUGAUCAAUUUUUCCUUCACGUGCCAAAGCUUCAAUAUGAUCACGGAGGAUGACGCACUCCUCGCCAUCAUGGCCAUUAUACUCGUGGUAGCAGCAAAACAUGCCCGUGUUUUUCGUGGACUUGUAAUCUGGCUGUCUUGGCUUUGGCUUUGGUAUCAGAUGAGCUAUACUGGGGUAGAUGGCCGCGCAUGUAGCGUUCAAAGGUGUGUAUGUCUCAUACCUCGGGGUAGGGCCUGUCUUGACACGUGAUUGGCCCACUGCAUUGACUGCCUGGGGACGGGCGUUAUUGUGACGAUAUCCUGAGUUAUCGCGAUAGUGCCCCUUAUUCUUUUUAUUAAAAUGAGAUUGGUGAGGAUGGAAAUCUUUCCUUUUGCCCUGGGAUUGAUAUGUCUGCUGACUUGGCGAAGCAUUAAAUGAGGCAGGGGGUGUGCUGCUACCGUUUGGAAGGUUAAGGUCUUCUCAUUCGGUUGGAUCUGGCCUCCACUCCCUACUUGCUGAUAAGGGGUGACUGUAGGGGGUUUCCCUUGAUAUGUCCUUGCCUCGGCGGAGGCAUGGUUGUAAGCUUGUGCCAUCACCUCAGAGUAAGUCUUCCAAGUGUUGGCAUUGAUCAUGUACUUGAAGAAACAGUCACGUAAGCCUGCCGUGAAGGCCUUGAGGGCGGUCUUGUCAUCUGCCUUAGCGCAACGAGAAUACUCAUGGCUGAAGCGGCCAGCAUACUUUCGUAAUGACUCGUCCGGCUUCUGGCGAAUAGUGUACAAGUCAUCUGUGGAAUGCAAGCGAUCGGUCUGGAAGAUGUGUUGAGAGACAAACAGCUUCCUCAACUCUUCAAAUGAGUCUACUGUCUCAGGCGGAAGACGGCAAUACCAGUUUAAAGCUCAGCCAGAGAGGGUGGAGGGGAAGAGAAGGCAACGUUCUUCGUCGGUGUGUCUCCGGUAUACCAUGGUGGACUCAAAGAGGUUAAGGUGUUCAAUCGGGUCUUCCUUUCCAGUAUAGAGUUGUAAGCCAAGCUUCUGCUUUGUCUUUGCUUGGAGGGGGGUGUUGAGGAUCCUUCUUGUGAGGGGCCCAGGCCUGGGUUGGUUCCAGUCAGGUAUCUCGGCUUGACGUUCAGCCUUCAACUUGUUUACUUCCUCCAGGAGUUGUAGGACAAGGGGGUCCUGAGUGGAGUCGUGCACCACUGAAGGUUUCUUUCGUAAGUCCCCAUCGCCUCUUGUAAGUAGGAAAGUUUGAUCAAGAUAACGUGAUUUUUCCUUAGACUCGUCACACUGACUCCUAGAGUGAGUAUGUCGGAACAUUUCCGAGUCCCCUGUACCUUCAUGUUCUUCUGGGACUUGUUGCCCAUUCCUUAGAUUAACUGCUGGCCUGGGUCGUGGGAGAGGACCGAGUCUUUCAGAAACUCUUGGGUCAUUGAUCUUCGAGCUUAUGUGGAUGGGAUUCUCUCGACGUUGCUUUAGAAAGUCUCGACAAUCGCGAUAGACGGCUUUUGAUCCUUCCACUCCUUCUGUGAGGAUGUGCUUUCCUCUACUCCUUCUGCUUCGGGUUGAAGCAGCUGGGUUGAGAGAAGUCUCAUGUUGAUUAUCACAUUGAUAUGUAGCUCGAUCCUUAUCAGGGAUGUCUGUGUUGGAUAUCGGUGACCCUCCGUGUUGGGGGGCAUUCAGAUGAUUGUUGACCUCAGCAGGGGCGACGAGCUUGUGUGCUUGAGCAUGCCUAGCCUCGUGAAGCAUCUCGAAAAGUUUUUCAUACUGCUCCUGGAGAACCUCGUUCCUCAUCACUAUCUUGUUGUUCUGAGCUUCUAACUCAUCGACUUUAGCUUGAAGAGUAACUCUAUUUCCUUCCUGCUUUCAUUGCUUCGUACUAGGUCCAAUGGGGGUGUCAUUCUGUGUGUUAUGGCUUCUUUCGCUCCCCAUGUCGGAGAGAGAUGCUUGGCCAAAAGAGAGUGUACGAGCAGUGGAAACCAGCUUGACAAAGCUGAAGAGAGUGGGAAUAAGUGUCAGUUCCCACAAACGGUGCCAAAUGUUGAUGCACAAAAUCAGCGAGGACUUUGGUACAACAGAAAGUGUCAGGUUUGUGACAUUCGCUUGGUUGCUUCGAUCACUAGUGAAGAUAAGUACGUAAAUGAAUAGGGACAGGGAAGCAAACACAAGAUGUACGUGGUUCACCCAGAUCGGCUACGUCCACGGAGUAGAGGAGUUCUCAUUAAUUGUGAAGGGUUUACACAAAUACAUAGGUUCAAGCUCUCAUUUUGUGAGUUCUAGUGAAUAGUUUAGUACAAAAUGACAUUAGAGAUUAUUGUGGGAGAAUGAUCCCUAUUUAUAGAAGAGAGUUUCUAGUUUUGUUCUAACAUUGACACGUGUCGUGUUGUGAUUGGCUUCUGAUGUUGACACGUGUCGAGCUGUGAUUGGCUUCUGAUGUCGACACGUGUCGCAUUGUGAUUGGCCUCCUGGUUGAAGGGAAGCUCUUCUGGGUCUUCGACAGUAUAACGUUGACCGGUGCUCAGUAGUUUCGGGAUUGGUCAAGUAUGGUACAAACAUACUUGGUACUUACAUCGUUGAUUUAUUAUAUACAUUUGAAUGACUAAGUUGUGAACUUGUGAUGCUACUCUUCUCUUUUUGUUUUUGCCAUUUAAGUAUAUGUGUUUUUCAAGAAAUAGAGAAUUUGGACAUAUUAGUUCUUCAAUGUUAUUCUAAAGGACGCCGGGACGCCACGUAUUUAGAUUAUGAUUGUUAUGAACUUGUAAUGUUCUUCUGCAUUUUUGUUCCGUUUGAGUAUACGCAUUAUGCAUUCUCUGAAGUAUAGAGGAUUAGGCGAGAUUAGUCAUUCGGUGUUGGAAUAAAAGGUUGCGGAACGCCACUAGGUUUAUGUUCUAAUGAUACCGUUGCCAUGGCAUUGGCACCUGAGACAAAAUAGGCUGAAGCGCAUUCAACUGAGCAAGGCGGGACGGUGAGCAUUAUGCAGCACUAAUUGCCUCGGCAACCCUCUAUGCUGGACUUCACUCCCUCAAAAACUCUUGUCGAGAACCAGUUCCUUUUCCGACUCUUUGAAGCGACCAACACCGUUGUGUUUUUCAUCUCCAUUUGAAUGAAGAAAACCCUGGUUCCUCGAUCGAGCUUUGCAUGAACCUGAUCCUCUUUUUACUGUGCGUUAUCUACAUGUUAGGUCUUGCAAUGGUGUUUUAUUGCACCUGAAGUUUAUGAAUGUGAUGUUGUAACUCUGUAGGAAUCAUGGUGACUUUGUUGUGUAACUGGUGUUUUCUGGCACCUGAAGUUGGUUGAGAGAAAAAGAGUUGAACAAAACUUGCAACCCUUGGGAAAGCUAAGGCUUUUCUUUUUGUUAGUUGAACCGUUCCCAGCAAAGUUAUUUCGUACGAACGAUGUUGUUGAGUAGUAGUUGGUAUUUUGAAGGCUCUAUUAUUCUUCAUGCAUGUUACUGUAGACGUACCAAUAAUUUUGAGGAGUAAAUUCUGGGGCCUCAAAUAUUAAGUAUAGUAGAACGCGCUUGUGUUAUAAAGUAUCUUUUCAGCAAGAGAAACUUGCAUACAUCGUGACGUAUGCAUGACAAGAACGAGAAAUAUAUACUGCUUCAAGGAAGUUCUUCGCCUUCUCAACUCAACUAGAUGCAGUGAAAGGCAAAACUCCUACAUCAAGAAAGGACCAAGCCUUAUGAGGACAUAUAAGGAGUUUGACUACUCCCAUAUUAUUAAUAGUACUAUAGCGGAACCUCAACUUCUUUCAUGUAUCUCAGAACAAGUUGGCCCAUGUGUGAAGCUCAACAACACACGUUCUCUACGUCCUCCAAUUUGUGAUGUCUACAUGUUAGAUUUGAACAUUUGUUACACAUGAGAGGGUGUGUGAGAAUAUAAAUAAAUAUCUUAUAUCAAAAGUUUACUAAAGCUUGCAUGUCCUUAUAGCUAGAGAGUUGGACUACUCUCAAUCACCAUAUUGCCAACUGAAUUUAUGGUAAAACCUCAAUUUCCCUCAUAGACAAAUUAUGUUAAAGCAUUUAGGCUUGCAGCUAUACCUUUGUAUUGAAUCUAGGGUUUCAAACACAUUCCAAUCACCAAUAACUAUUCUAAACAACUUUUUCAAGACCAUAAUGAUAUGAAAUUGAGAAUGAUUAGCAAAAGAGUUAGCAGCUGAGAGAGUAGUUGGUUUUGCAAUCAAAUAUCUACGAACUAUGUUGACUAAAUCAUUGACCCAUUUAUAUGAUAACAAUUAGUUUUGGUCACAUGCCCUGGUGGUAAGUUUUUCUAGGUUAGCAAAACUGCUGGGAGUGAAAAAGUUAAGUCUACAAGUUAUAUUCAUAGGUGUUUCUUAUAUUCUAUGGCUUCUAAUUAAAUUAUAACCAAGGAUGCAUGGUCACAGCCAUAAUCAUUAAUUUACUGGCACCAAAUUUGAAUUUUCAUCAUAUAUAGCGAUGUUGGUAUGGUAAUUGUCACAAGCAAAGUUUUAGGAAGAAAUGUCAUUCAAGAGAGUGGAAAUUUCUUCACAAAUAAUUGACCACCACAUGUCCCGUUUACUGGCAUGUGAAAUUGCUGCCAUAUUAAUUUGAUGUUUUCUCAUGGGUCAAACUAGAAAUUUUGCAAGGGUUUAUAAGAGGUUGAGUUAUUCUCUAUAUUGCCAAAUUGGUUUUAUGGUGAAACCCCAACUUUCUUCCUUGUACUAGAGCAGAUUGGCCCACGUGUAAAGCUCAAAGACCACACUUGUUCCACAUCACUCAAUAUGUGCUACCAAGCAUUUGGCUUGAAAAUGUUGCCACAUGCGAGGGAGCAUGUGAGGAUGUGAAGGUAAAAGAGCUUAUAAGAAGUUGGGCUACUCCCAACAUUACCAAUUGGUUUAGAACCCCAACUUUCCUUUGGGUAUCAAAGCAGGUUGGCCCACGUGUGAAUCCUAACGGCCACACUUGCUCCACAUCACCCAAUUCAUGUUGUUCACGUGUUUGGCUUGAAAACUUGCUAUACGUGAAAGGACUUGUGAAGAUUUAAAGGUAAAUGAGUCUCACAUUGGUGAAAGGAGAAACCUUGUAAGGAGUUAUAAGAGGUUGAACUACUCCUCAUAUUUCCAAUGAGUUUUAUUAUGGAACCCAACUUUCUUCAUGGAAUACCAGUGUUUUCAAAUAAGAACAAUUUAUCUGCAGCAGGUUAAUUUGAUCCCUUCCAACACUACUAGACCUUUAGCACACAAGGUUUGAAAAGAAAAAACUGUAAAAAUGAGGUUGAAGGUGAGCUAGAGAACAAACUUGAACAGCGUAUAUGCAAGUUUAAUUGAAGUUGUUUUAACUAUUAUACAUCUGAUAGAUUUGAUGCAAUCGAGCUCUAGCUUGUCUAGAAAAUCUGUCGUGUCAUCGGGUAUAUAGUGUGUAUUUAUCCUCAGUUGUAGAAGCAUGACUUGUCUACACUAGCUACUGAGGCAGAUUCUAAAUCAAUAACGCAUUGUAAUGAAUUUUUAACUUUCUAAUUGUACGCACUAAUGCAUUGAUGGUUUUGAAUAUCUUUAUAGUAACGGAUCGUGUAGGUAGUCUCUCUCCGAUUCGAGGACAUACUUUGAUGAGCCUAACCCAACUGACAAUUACACCAAACUUUUCUCAUUUCUAAGUUGACUUGGUUGUAGAUUAACCUAAAGCCAAAAUAAUACCGACCAAAUUUACGAAAUCUUGGUCGAAAGGCCACUUCAAUUGAUCACUAGAACAAGAAGCAGAAAUUUCAAACUUAGCUUUUAUUUUUCUUUUGCAUUGCCAACCAUACAAGGUAUUGCCAUAAACACAACUACAAUAUAGGCUUUGCUUUUGUACAAGUGGGCCUAAGAUUUUGCUCCAAUUGUCAAACACCCCUACCUCUACAUAACCCCCCUCUCAUCCAUUCAAAUUUCCUCACAAACACUGUGAUCUUUGUCCAAUCAUAAGAAAAGAUCUAGUCCAAACUCCUUUCUAUUUUCUUCGUUAGGUUACUCCCAAGAAGUCAAAAGCCAAUUCCAUGGCUGGCUCAUUGGCCAUUUUUGGUGUGGUCAUGGCGUUGGGAAUGUUGAGUUGUGGUGCUGAGGCUCGUGCCUUUUUUGUGUUUGGAGACUCACUGGUCGACGCUGGCAACAACAACUACUUAGCCACCAGUGCUCGUGCCGACUCUCCUCCUUACGGCAUUGACUAUCCCACCCGUCGACCCACCGGUCGUUUCUCCAAUGGCCUCACCAUUCCUGACUAUAUCAGUUAGGUUUUCUUCCAUUCUCUUUUUCUUUCCGAUUUUUCGGGUUAUUUUCUCGUUAUUCACAUGUACUGAAUUGACCUAAUAUGUGUGUGCGUAUGUGUAUAUAGGUCAGAAGCUUGGUGCAGAACCUACAUUGCCAUACUUGAGUCCACAACUCACAGGGCAAAAGCUACUAGUUGGUGCAAACUUUGCCUCUGCUGGCAUUGGAAUUCUUAAUGACACUGGGGUUCAGUUUGUAAGUUUUCUUUUAAAACAAAUAGAGGAUCAUGCGAGAGAUUAGCUCUUUAGUGCCCGUCAUGAGCACAAAAGUGCUACAUGCUAGUAAAUUAAUUACCUUGGUAAAGUUGUCAACCAACAAAUUUUUUUUGAACUAGUAAUGGAUGGAUAUGUGUGAAAUUUUCAGGCAAAUAUAAUCAGAAUGCCAGCGCAAUUGCUAAACUUCCAACAAUACCAGCGAAGGUUGUCUGCCCAAAUCGGACCUCAACGGACCAAACAGCUCGUAAAUCAAGCACUCGUCCUCCUCACCGUCGGCGGCAACGAUUUUGUGAACAACUACUACCUAGUGCCUUUCUCCGCAAGAUCUCGCCAGUUUGCUCUGCCAGACUAUGUCAGAUACCUCAUUUCCGAGCUCCGAAAAAUUCUCUUGGUAACCAACUCCUAAUUUGGCUAAGUUCGGAAAUAACUUGCUAGCUAAGCGACAAUGUCACAUGUUAAUGACUUAUAAUUAUGUGUAGUUUGAUCAUUCUUUGUGUCAUAACUUUACAGAAAAUGUAUGAUCUUGGAGCACGAAGGGUUUUGGUGACAGGGACAGGACCGAUGGGCUGCGCACCUGCUGAAUUGGCCAUGAGAAGCAGGAAUGGAGAAUGCGCAGCGGAGCUGCAACGAGCAUCGGCUCUGUACAACCCGCAACUCAUUCAGAUGCUGAGAUCAGUCAACAGCCAACUCGGUUCUGAUGUCUUUGUUGCUGCCAACGUACAGGAGACCCGCAAUGACUUCAUCAGGAACCCUCAAGCAUUUGGUAAAUUAAUUAUACAAUAUACGUUUAUAUCAAUUUUAUGUUCAUGACCUAAUAUUAUGAUCAUGGAUUAAGUUUUGUUCGAAAGAUUAACCUAUUCAAGAAUCUCCUAAUCUACGCUUAUUUUCAACCCCGCCAAUCAUUUUGUCUCUUACUAUGCAUUUUUUGUGUGUUGGUGACAUAAAGUUGCUUGUUUAAUUUUUGUUAUCCAGGAUUUACUACAUCAAAGGUUGCAUGCUGUGGGCAAGGACCUUACAAUGGCUUGGGGCUGUGCACAAGAGCUUCCAAUUUGUGCCCGAACCGCGACCUAUACGCUUUCUGGGAUGCAUUUCAUCCGUCCGAAAAGGGGAACAGACUGAUCGUUGAGAAUAUUAUGACAGGGGAUGAAAAGUACAUGUACCCUAUGAAUCUCAGCACCAUCUUGGCUUUGGAUUCCAGGACCUAAGACAUAUUUCCAUGUGAAACUAAUAUUUAUGUGUACUAUUUCCAUUUGAAACUAUAUUUAUGUGUACUAGAUUAUGAUCUGUGUUGAAUGCCAGUACUAUCUGCCAUUUAUGUUUGUGCGUCGCUGGGAUGUCUAGUGAUUAAAAACUCAUUGGCUUCCCAAUUGCUUUCUAGUUUUUGUAAUGGUUUGAUUUGCAAGAUUUCCCCCAAGGUGAUAAUGUAAAACUUACCAACUUAAGUACAAUCAUCUUUAAUUUACACUCAGUCGUUUUGUUCACUGCUUGUGGAAUUUAUUAUCACUUGCUUAAUCUAUCAGGUGUGGAGUUUUAUUACAAAAUGUCUUGUUAUUAGAUAGUGGGUAAUCAAAUUUAUAUUCUUCUUGGUAUAAUCCAAGUGGUAGUGUGGGUAAUCAAACUUAUAUUCUUCUUGGUAUAAUCCAAGUGGUAGUACGAACCUACCUGCCAUUGGCUCUAAUACCAUAUGAAAUUUUCAGAGAGACAGGCCGAGGACCCUGCGUCCAAUGAUAUUGUUCCCAAUUUGAUAAUUAUCACUCGUUCAAUAUAAUUUAGAGUAAUAGUUAAAGUAGAGUAAUCAUAUGUAAACUUUAUUUCUUCUUCCCUCUGGCUGAUGUGGGAUAGCCAACAUUGCUUGAUCAAAUUUGCUGAUGUUGGUUUAUUUGUAGCUAUUGAACAUAACCUUUUGCCGCAACCAUUUCUUCGUGUUACAUGGGUGCGUGAUUUGUCUAAUCUCUUCCUAAACUAUUCAAAAGUUCCUUUUUUGUAACCAAAAGGAGUUAAUAGUAGUUAUUUAUGCGCUAGAAGUUUAGUGUUUGAUCUCCCUUCUCCAAUAUUGCUUAUACCAAUGGCUUCCGGAAACCUGGAUUACGCUGGCAGGCCUAGACCAUAGAGACAAAUCGAAACUAGACCUUACUAAGAUGUAAAAAAUUCGAAGGACACCUAGGUUCAAGCCAAAAAUAUUGGGAGCAUGAAUUUUUAAAAUUUUUGGUAACAUGAGACGAAGAUUUUAAUAAGAAUCCAAUGAGUAUUGUCCAAUAUGUAAAUUUACUCAAGCCAAAAAAAAAAAAAAAGGGCUGAAAAUAGAGAAAAAAAGGGUCACAAUGCGUGCUGGCUCAUGAUUGUAAGGGUAUUUGAAUGCAUGCUAAGCUAGUAAGCUUCAUACAAAUAAGUGUGGGAAUUUUGUGUUGAAUUGAAACCAGUGCUGGUAAUUUGGUAUUGAAAUAAUGCAAGCUUACGAAGAAAGUUGGAGUUUCACCGUAAAUUUAAUUGGCAAUAUGAGAGUAGUUCAAUCUCUCAUAAGCACAUGCAAGAUCCCUCAUUUCCCCAAUGUGUGAUUUACUCUCAACAAGCUCCCUCAUAUGUGGCGGAUUUUCAAGCCUAACAUGUGGAUAACAAAAAUCGAGUGACGUGGAGCAUAUGUUACCGUUAGGCUUCACAUAGGAUAACCUGCUCUGAUACCAAUUGACAAUAUAUAAAGUAGCCUAAUCUUUUAUAAACACAUGCAAACUUCUCCAAUGAGAUUCGCUCAACAACAGCGUUACGUAAAAACAACUUUUGAUGUGGGCACAAGUUUUAAAUAUACCAAAUGUUGUAUAACAGAAACAACUCUUGAAUUAUCUUUGUGUGUAGUGACCAUGGUUGUCCCAAAAUCUUUCAAGAAAAACAAAACAAAACAAACAAAACUGUAAAUGAAUUGAUAGAAAAACAGUCUCUUUGGAAACAAAGUAAGAGUAAUUAGUAUGCAAUCAAUAGACAUUCCCUCCUCGAUUGUUGUAAAGUAGGGAGCCUUGUUGGCUUGAGUUUUCCCUCACUGCAUGCAUCUCCUUUGCAUUGGAAACGCAUACAACAGAGCAAUCCUCUACCAAUUCAUUAGCAAUAUAUUGUUCUUUUCUCUCAGGAUUACUAGAAAGCCUUUAACUUCUGCAAAUAGGGAAUGCUCUAUCGUCGGCGUCUCCGCUGCAAAAGAGAUGGAUUCAGUGAGGAAGAUAAAAAAAAUCAAAGAAAAAAUGACACAGUUAUGUCAUAUUAGUGCAUGACAUUGAUAAGAAAACUUAAAAUAGGAAUAAGAAGCCGAUUCAAUCGGCGUUAUAAUUCUUAAUUACAAAGAAGGGAGUGGAUUCGACAAAGCAGAAGGAAUAGUACUGGAUCUCCGGUGCAAAGGGAAGGGGAAGGGGAGGAUCGAAAUUGUUCUCCACAAUUGCCAAUCUUUCUUAAGCCAGUCUCUUUUCCAACCUAAGAUGUCCACAAUUGCCAAUCUUUCUCAGGUGCGGUUUAUUUUUUCUUGAGUUAUUUAUAGGCAUAUGGCUUUUGAAUAGUAUCAUUAAAUUUCUUAAUGAUAUUUUUCCAUCCAAAUUUACCAACAUGACCAAUUUUUCGAUUUCCGGAUAAUGUUUCAUCUACACAAGUCCUUAUAAAUGCCUCAACAGUUGCAUUAUCCCAUAUUGCCUUACUCUUCUUUUCGUUAUCAUCCCCGUGUUCAAAUUCUGUGAACCUAUUUUGUGUGGUCUCUGUGUAACAUUUUAUUAUUGAUUGAUACAUAUUAAGUUUAUGACAACAGAGUUAAGAAGUAAGUUUACAGAUAUAUGUCAAUCAAUAAUAAAAAUCACAGAAAACCCACACACUAAAUAAGUGUAGAAAAUUUGAAUUCAUUAUCCCCAUAUGCAUCUUGUGAAUCCUUAACUAUAUUCUUAGAUAUUUAUAUCCCGAGUAAGAGAAAGAGAAAAAAAAAGCAUAGAACAUAAUAACAACAUACAACACUGCAUUAUGAAUUAAUUAUGUCCUCGUUUACUAGGCAUAGACCCAAAAUUACAAGCUUAAAAUUUCAAAAUAGGAGCAGUCAUAGAAAGCUAGCAGACACAGAACAAAUGAGAAGUAUUUUUAGGCCUUAUGACACGGUGACACCUCAUCUGUCAAUCAUAAGUCUCAAUUACUAACGUGGGUUUAGAGUUUUCAAGUCAAAUUCAAUCAAUGCAUGAAGUCUGGACCACUCCAUUUACCAGUUACGGGCAAUAGACAUUUGAAAUAAAACUGGCAUUUACAAAAUAGUUAAAUUCAAAUGUAUGUGCAUGAAGAUGGAGAGAGGCUUGGGAAAGAUGCCGCCCAAGAGGUGACUGCUUCAGUCUUCAGCACGAUAUGAAAACCUCGUGGGUUUUUUUUAUGUAGCAGCGUUAAAUCUAGAAAAAAUUGGUAAAUAGUACAAUUUUGAUAUUUUCUUAAAGUCUAAAGGCAUUUUACACUGUCUAAAUUAAAAAUAGGAAUAGUUUAGAAAGGUUUUUUUACCCUACAUUAAAAUGUUGAUAUUUUCUUAAAGUCUAAAGGCAUUUUAGACUGUCUAUAUUAGCAUCCCAUAAAAUGUUGAAUGCACCCCACAUUAAAAAUUAAUAUUAAAUGACUUAUUUACCCUACUAUAUAUGCAAUGACAAUUUUGACCUUAUUAGGUUUUAAAAAAAAUUAUAAAUACACCUCAAAUCAUAUUUAGCGUAUUAUUUAUCUUCUCAACUAUCAAAACACUUCCACCCUCCAUUGUUGAACAAAAUUCUAACCAAUGAAACUACAAACAUGUUGAUUGAGAAAAAUUGCUUUUGACGAAUGGUCUGUUGAAGACUCUCUGAGUCGAUCCCGACUUGAAGAAGAAGAAAAAAAACAAGGGCUGUUAAAGACACUCUGAGUCAACUCCAACUUGAAGAAGAAAAAAAGGUUGUUGAAGACUCUCCGACUUUCGUCUACAAGUAUAAUUGCAUUUUUUGUGGGACUCAGAAAUGCGGCCAUGAUUAUAAUGUUUGUCCAGUCUGCUGUAAUGGUCGCCACCCUCGUGGACUUUGCCCAUACAGGAGGUUUGUCCCGAAAAAGUUUCAUUGAAGGGAGUCAAAUACUUCCCGUGUUUUCACCUGGCAGCACAUUUAGGAGGAGGUGUUUCUUUAAACCCCACUCCAAGUGCUUCUAUUUAACUAAAAACACAAGUACAUUUUUGGCCAAACAACCGUUUCCAAAAUGAAAGCGUUUUUAUAACUCAUUUGUAAGUGUUUUUAAACUGACUGAAACCAUUUUUAGAGAAAAUGAUUUUGUGUCUAAAAGCACUUCAAGUACUUUUACAAGAUUCACUUGCAUUUUUACCAAAGAUUGACUCUAAAAACGUUUUUACGAAAAUCGCUUUCAGCCAGCUAAAAAACAUUUAAAAAAAAAAUUGUAGUCAUUAAAAAGCACUUAUAAGUUUUAACCAUCCAAAAGCACAUGCCAGCAAACCCUACAUUUUUAACCCCUAUAGAUUGACCAACUAGGGUAACUUCCCAUCCUUUGGAAAAGGAUGGGAUCCCGUGAUCUGACCGUUUAUCGUAUAUCAUGCGAUCAGAAAUCAUUUAAAAUUUAAAAUUAAAUAUAAAUAGUACUUAACUAAAACUGACUGCACGAUAUACGAUGAACGAUCAUAAUCACGAGAUUCCCAGAAUCUCCAGGAAAAUGAUCCUUUUGUCAUCCCAAUUGCCGCUUCACCCUUUUCACCCUCCCACAUCGCUUCUUUCUCCUCACGGUCCCCGCAGUUUACUCUUGAGGUAAUAAAAUAAUGGAGUAAUUAGGUUUUCAUCCUUAUUUUUACUACUCUAUUGAUUAAAACCUUAUUACUUUUCAAUUUUUGAUCAAGGUCCUUUGUAUUAAUAAUAUCAUUAAUUAUUUCAAUAAUAAAAUAUUUUUUAUUUCUAAAUAUAUUCAUUUAAUAUUAAAAAUGUUACAAUUAGUAUAUUUAUAUUUAUGGCUAAAUUUUUUAUCAUAUAUUUUUAUUUUUAGUUUGUACCCAUUUUUAAUUUGCAACCCUUUUUUAAUUUGUACCAAUUUUCCUUUCAAUUUUAAUUUGUACCCAUAUAUUAAUUUCUUUUUGUGCCCAUAUCUUUUAAAGUUUUAUUUGUAUUGUACCCAUAUUUUUUUAUUUAUUUGUACCCAUUUUUAUUUUUGCUAAAUGUACCCAUUUUGAAGAAUGUACCUAUGUUUUGAUACAAUAAUUUUUUGGUUAUUUUUUUAUGAAUGUACCCAUGUUUACACACACACACACACAAUGGUAUAUUUAUAUUUUAAUAUUUUUAAUCCCACAAAUUAUGGUUUUUUAUUUAAAAUCUCACUACUAUAAACAACUAUAAAUUUUAAUUUUUAAUUUAAAAAAUAUAGUAACGUACAUAGAAAUAAAUUAUCAAUUAAUUUUAGGGACUUGAAUCAAAAAUUGAAAAACAACAAGGUUUCAGUCAAAGAUUGUUCAUAACUAGGGACCGCAUCUAAAGUCUCCCUAAAAUAAUUAUCCAUUUUAUUUUAUUAUUUAUCCUCUUUCAACUCUUGUCGCACAAACCGCAGCACUAGAAGCAGCUCGUUAAUAAAAAGUAAAUUUAAAUAAUUAAAUAAACACUAGUAGAAAAAGAAGCCCCGACCUUCUCUACUUUCUAGUUUCUAGAACCUUCUUUUGUUCGUGUGUUCUUUCCAGACCGUUAAACCCUAACCCUAGAGAUAUUUUAGGUUUCAGAUCUAGGGUUUUUGAGGUUUGGUGGUGACUGGAGCUUGGAUUUUAGUUUCAUUUUUUCACUAAUCCUUCUUCUUUUCUUUCUUUUUUUUUGUCAAUGAACUGCCAUUAACGAUUUUAUCCUGUUCUGUUUCAGAUUCUUGACUUUUUUGGAUGAACAUGGCAAAGAGGUCAUUUUUCUUCAAAUUUAAAUUUUCUUUUUUAUUUUGUUUUAUCAUUGAAUGUUUUUGUUUUAGUAUAUGAUUGUUUUGAACUUGUGAUGUUACUCUGCAUUUUUUUUGCCAUUUAAGUCAAUGUGUUCUUUGAAAAAAAAUAGUGGAUUAGGCGAGAUUAGUUUUCCAGUGUUAGUCUAAAAGACGUUGGAACUUCACGUAUUAGAUUAUGACCUAGUUUGGGAGUGAGGUGCUUAAAAAAAAAGCACCGAUGAAAAAAAGUUGUGAGGGUUUUAGGUGUUUGGUAAACUGAAAAAAAAAUGGCUUAUUUUGGAAGCUGCUGUGAGAAUAAGCUGAAAUCAAAGGAAAAAGCUGAAGCUGCUAUUUGCAGCUUUGGAAAAAUGGCUUUUUUUCAAAGCACAUGGAGCUACAGUGCUUCUUUAAUGAAAAGACCCACUAUUUGACUGCUUUUUUUCCAAAAGCACUUUUAUAAAAAAGUUUACCAAACACUCUGCUGAUUUAUUUCACAGCCGCUUAUUCUCACAGCACAGCCGCUUAUUUUCACAACAGCUUUUUUUCAAAGCACAGCAAUACCAAACCAGCCCUAUGAUUGUCGUAAACUAGUGAUGCUACUCUUUUUUUUUUUUUUGGUCCCUUUGAGUAUAUGCGUUCUUCGAAAAUAGAAGAUUAGGAAGGAUUAGUUCUUCAGUGUUAGUCUAAAGGACGCCGGAGCGCCACGUUUUAAUUAUACGUGUUGUGAAACUUGAGAUGCUACUUUGCAUGUCAUUUAAGUAUAUGCAUUGUUUGAAAAAUAGAGGAUUAGGCGAGAUUAGUUGUUAGAGUUAGAAAUAAAUGCUAUUGGCCUUUAACUUCUGCUUUGGUUGGCUUUGGGUCGCAGGGGCAGAAGGCUGACCGGCAAACCAGGGUAUGUUCUUUGCCAGGUUUAGAUGCAACUGGUUUUAUUUUUGAAUGCUAUUGAUUUAGAUUAUGAGUGUUGUGAACUCGCGAUGUUCCUCUGGUUUUUUUGCCAACGAAGUAUGUAUUGUUCGAAAAAGUUUACGAUUUGCAUGUUUGUGUUCUUGUUUUCCCAAAGUAAAUGAGGAUUUGGUGAGGUUAGUUCUUUUGUGUUAGUCCAAAAGAAUCCGGAACACACCACAGUUUUAUAAUCUCAUUUAACUUGUGAUGUUCCUCUGUUAUAGCAUAUAUUUGAUGAGAUUAUGUUUUUAAGUAAAUUUUAUGUUCUUUACUAGGCUGUUUGGAUGAAAUUUGAUUACAUUUUCCGUUCGAUCUGCAACUGAUUUUCCUAUGCCUAUUGCAGCAAUGAUACCAACCCCAUGGCGCUAGAGGCAGAGGAGAAUGCAAGUCUGCAGCGCGAGAUGAAGUUGUUUAUGGCUAUACACUAAUUGCCAUGGCAACCUUCUAUGCUGGACUUUACCCUUCACACGCUCUUGUUAAGAACCAGUUCCUUUUCCAACUCUUUGAAGUCUUCAACGCCGCAGGGUUUUUCAUCUCCAUUUGGAUAAUGAAAAUCCUCAGCAGGGGUUCCCCAAUCGAGUUUACAUUGAAGCCGCUCCUCUCUUUACUGUGCCUUUUUUACAAACUAGGCGUUGCGAAUAUGUUUUCUUGCCCCAGCUGCACCUGCAGGUUAUGAAUGUGAUGAUGUAAUUCGGUCGGAAACAUGGUAACUCUGUUGUCUAACUGGUGUUUUCGGUCACCCGAAGUUUAUGAAUGUGAUGUAAUUGUGUAGAAACGUGGUACCUUGUUGUGUAACUGGUGUUUUCAAACACCCGAAGUUUAUGAUGUUAAUUAACUGGUGUUUUUGGGCACCUGAAGUUUAUGUAGUGGAUUUGCAAGAUUUGUGACUACUUGUUUAACUGCUGUAUUUGAAUACAGUUUCAUCAAUAGCGCAGAUGUGAUUUAGUUCCUUUCGUGAAUGAAAAGUUUUGAUGUAACAGGUUUGAUAGGGGGGAUGCACAUAUAUCCCUCCAUUUACGAAUAACAUAUCUUGAUCAUAUAAAUUAAAUGAUUGGGAAACAUAUUAGAUAAAUGAACGGUUUAUUAUGAAUAUGUUACUUGGUACUUACACCGUUGAUUUAUUUUAUACAUUUGAAUGACUAAGUUGUGAACUUGUGAUGCUACUCUUCUCUUUUUGUUUUUACCAUUUAAGUAUAUGUGUUUUUCAAGAAAUAGAGAAUUUGGACAGAUUAGUUCUUCAAUGUUAUUCUAAAGGACGCCGGAAUGCCACAUAUUUAGAUUAUGAUUGUUGUGAACUUGUGAUGUUCUACUGCAUUUUUGUUCCAUUUGAGUAUACGCAUUAUGCAUUCUCUGAAGUAUAGAGGAUUAGGCGAGAUUAGUUCUUCGGUGUUGGAAUAAAAGGUCGCGGAACGCCACUAGGUUUAUAUUCUUAUGAUACCGUUGCCAUGGCAUUGGCAUCUGAGACAAAAUAGGCGGAAGCGCAUUCAACUGAGCAAGUCGGGACGGUGAGCAUUAUGCAGCACUAAUUGCCUCGGCAACCCUCUAUGCUGCACUUCACUCCUUCAAAAACUCUUGUCGAGAACCAGUUCCUUUUCCGACUCUUUGAAGCGACCAACACCGUUGUGUUUUUCAUCUCCAUCUGAUGAAGAAAACCCUCAAUAAGGGUUUCUCGAUCGAGCUUUGCAUGAACCUGAUCCUCUUUUUAGUGUGCGUUAUCUACAUGUUAGGUCUUGCAAUGGUGUUUUAUUGCACCUGAAGUUUAUGAAUGUGAUGUUGUAACUCUGUAGGAAGCAUGGUGACUUUGUUGUGUAACUGGUGUUUUCUGGCACCUGAAGUUGGUUGAGAGAAAAAGAGUUGAAUAAAACUUGCAACCCUCGGGAAAGCUAGGGCUUUUCUUUUUGUUAGUUGAACCGUUCCCAGCAAAGUUAUUUCGUACGAAGAUGUUGUGUAGUAGUUGGUAUUAUGAAGGCUCCCUCAGCUCUAUUAUUACUUCAUGCAUGUUACUCUAGACGUACUAAUAAUUUUGAGGAGUAAAUUCUGGGGCCCCAAAUGCAAUUCUAUUAAGUAGUAGAACGCGCUUGCGUUAUAAAGUAUCUUUUCACCAAGAGAAACUUGCAUACAUCGUGACAUAUGCAUGACAAGAUCGAGAAAUAUACAUUGCUUCAUGCAAGUUCUUCGCCUUCUCAACUCAACUAGAUGCAGUGAAAGGCCAAACUCCUACAUCAAGAAAGGACCAAGCCUUUUGAGGACAUAUAAGGAGUUUGACUACUCCCAUAUUAUUAAUAGUAUUAUAGUGGAACCUCAACUUCUUUCAUGUAUCUCAGAACAAGUUGGUCCAUGUGUGAAGCUCAACAACACAUGUGAUCUACGUCCUUCAAUUUGUGAUGUUUACAUGUUAGAUUUGAACACUCGUUAUACGUGAGAGGGUGUGUGGCAAUAUGAAUAAAUAUCUUAUAUAAGAAGUUUACUAAAGCUUGUAUGUCCUUAUAGCUAGAGAGUUGGACUACUCUCAAUCCCCAUAUUGCGAACUGAUUUUAUGGUAAAACCUCAAUUUCAUUCGUAGACAAAUUUGUUAAGGCACAUUUGAAUUAUCAUUAUAUAUAGCGAUGUUGGUAUGGUAAUUGUCACAAGCAAAGUUUUAAGAAGAAAUGUCAUUCAAGAGCGUGGAAAUUUCUUCACAAAUAAUUGACCACCACCUGUCCCGUUUACUUGCAUGUGAAAUUGCUGUCAUAUUAAUUUGAUGUUUUCUCAUCGGUCAAACUAGAAAUUUUGCAAGGGUUUAUAAGAGGUUGAGUUAUUCUUCAUAUUGCCAAUUGAUUUUAUGAUGAAACCCCAACUUUCUUCCUAGUACUAGAGUAGGUUGGCCCACGUGUAAAGCCCAAAGACCACACUUGCUCCACGUCACUCAAUUUGUGUUGCCAAGCAUUUGGCUUGAAAAUGUUGCCACAUGCGAGGGAGCAUGUGAGGAUGCGGAGGUAAAAAAGUCUUACAUCGAUAAAGGGAGAAACCUUGCAAGGGUUUACUAGAAGUUGAGCUACUCCCAACGUUGCCAAUUGGUUUAAGGUGAAACCCUAUCUUUCCUUCGGGUAUCAGAGCAGGUUGGUCCACGUGUGAAGCCUAACGGUCACACUUGCUCCACAUCACCCAAUUCCUGUUGUUCAUGUGUUUGGCUUGAAAAUUUGUUACACGUGAGAGGACGUGUGAGGAUUUAAAGGUAAAAGAGUCUCACAUUGGUGAAAGGAGAAACCUUGUAAGGAGUUAUAAGAGGUUGAACUACUCCUCAUAUUUCCAAUGAGUUUUAUUAUGGAACCCAACUUUCUUCAUGGAAUACGAGUGUUUUCAAAUAAGAACAAUUUCUCUGCAGCAGGUUAAUUUGAUCCCUUCCAACACUACUAGACCUUUAGCACACAAGGUUUGAAAAGCAAAAACUGUAAAAAUGAGGUUGAAGGUGAGCUAGAGAACAAACUUGAACAGCGUAUAUGCAAGUUUAAUUGAAGUUGUUUUAACUAUUAUACAUCUGAUAGAUUUGAUGCAAGCGUGCUCUAGCUUGUCUAGAAAAUCUGUUGUGUCAUUGGGUAUAUGGUCGUGUCGAAAACACUCGUCAGGCUAUGGACAUAAUAGUGUGUAUUUAUCCUUAGUUGUAGGAGCAUGACUUUUCUACACUAGCUACUGUGCAAGAUUCUAAAUCAAUAACGCAUUGUAGUGAAUUUUUAACUUUCUAUAUGUACGCACCAAUGCAUUGAUGGUUUUGAAUAUCUUUAUAGUAACGGAUCGUGCAGGUAGUCUCUCUCGGAUUCGAGUACAUACUUUGAUGAGCCUGACCCAACUGACAAUUACACCAAAUUUUUCUCAUUUCUGAGUUGACUUGGUAGUAGAUUAACCUAAAGCCAAAAUAAUACUGACCAAAUUUAUGAAAUCUUGGUCGAAAAGCCACUUCAAUUGAUCACUAGAACAGGAAGCAGAAAUUUCAAACUUAGCUUUUAUUUUUCUUUUGCAUUGCCAACCAUACAAGGUAUUGCCAUAAAAACAAACUACAAUAUAGCUUUGCUUUUGUACAAGUGGGCCUAAGAUUUUGCUCCAAUUGUCAAACACCCCUACCUCUAUAUAACCUCCCUCUCAUCUAUUCAAAUUUCCUCACAAACACUGUGAUCUUUGUCCAAUCAUAAGAAAAGAUCUAGUCCAAACUCCUUUCUAUUUUCUUCGUCAGGUUACUCCCAAGAAGUCAAAAGCCAAUUCCAUGGCUAGCUCAUUGGCCAUUUUUUGUGUGGUCAUGGCGUUGGGAAUGUUGAGUUGUGGUGCUGAGGCUCGUGCCUUUUUUGUGUUUGGAGACUCACUGGUCGACGCUGGCAACAACAACUACUUAGCCACCAGUGCUCGUGCCGACUCUCCUCCCUACGGCAUUGACUAUCCCACCCGUCGACCCACCGGUCGUUUCUCCAAUGGCCUCACCAUUCCUGACUAUAUCAGUUAGGUUUUCUUCCAUUCUCUUUUUCUUUACGAUUUUUCGAGUUAUUUUCUUGUUAUUCACAUGUACUGAAUUGACCUAAUAUGUUUGUGCGUGUGUGUAUAUAGGUCAGAAGCUUGGUGCAGAACCUACAUUGCCAUACUUGAGUCCACAGCUCACAGGGCAAAAGCUACUAGUUGGUGCAAACUUUGCCUCUGCUGGCAUUGGAAUUCUUAAUGACACUGGGGUUCAAUUUGUAAGUUUUCUUUUAAACCAAAUAGAGGAUCAUGCGAGAGAUUAGCUCUUUAGUGCCCGUCAUGGGCACAAAAGUGCUACAUGCUAGUAAAUUAAUUACCUUGGUAAAGUUGUCAACCAACAAUUUUUUUUUUGAACUAGUAAUGGAUGGAUAUGUGUGAAAUUUUCAGGCAAAUAUAAUCAGAAUGCCAGCGCAAUUGCUAAACUUCCAACAAUACCAGCGAAGGUUGUCUGCCCAAAUCGGACCUCAACGGACCAAACAGCUUGUAAAUCAAGCACUCGUCCUCCUCACCGUCGGCGGCAACGAUUUUGUGAACAACUACUACCUAGUGCCUUUCUCCGCAAGAUCUCGCCAGUUUGCUCUGCCAGACUAUGUCAGAUACCUCAUUUCUGAGCUCCGAAAAAUUCU
rnacentral:lncRNA from 1 species